GAGAGAGAGAGAGAGGGUUAUAUAUAUAAACAUGCAUUUCACUCAGAGAAAAAUGCAGUGCACAUGAGGAGAUUUAGUGCACAGAAUAAUGCUCUUUACACAAUGAAGGUAAGGAAAGGGAUGCCUUCCCCUUCCCUAAGGGAUUUUGAUGUCUAUUCAUUGGCUCGGUCUCAAUGGUGCUUUCACUGUAUACAACCUUCACAUAUUCCCAAGUGAUGGGAGGGUCACAUUAAUGAAAAGGAAGAUAUAUAUAUCUUGCCAUAUUGAUCACAAAUGUUGGACCUAUGUGUUCAUUGAUUUGGCUGAGAAAAGUUGCAGACACACAUCAUUUCUUCUGCUAUAUCCAACUGCAAAUGGUUUCAGAACCCCACGAAAGUGUCAUGCAAUCCAGUCAAGGGGAGAUGCAUGCAUGCUGGAUUUCCAUGAGAGCCUUGGGUUUAGGGCAAGUCUGCGAUAUGCAUGCCUCCAGCUCGGUGGAGGGGGACAAUGGCAUGCGAAGACCAGGAUGCAGGCAUCACUCAUUGUCUUUGAAUUCAUAGGAUGGUCAAUUUGUGCAUCAAGUGGAUGAAGCACUAAUAUGGAUGGAUGAACGAAGGCAUGAUUAGCUCUCUGAUUGUGAUCUGGAGAAAGAGACCUUCUCUGAGAGGCUUUGCUGAAACUACUGUAUCAUUGAGGUAAAUGAACAGUAAAUGGAGUUUUCUCAAGGAAAGAGUUCAUAUGCUCUCUUCUUCCUCAGCUGUUGAGUAGACUGAAGUAGGUUAAUGAACGUUUAGGAAUGCAGUAUUCGGCGAAAUCUCUCUCUUCUUCUUAGUCUUCUGCUUCUGGCAGGGAAGAUGCCAAUCCAGAUUGGGCAGCCAUGAUUGAUCACGGUCAGCUUUUACAGUUUGCUACUCUUUUGUGUCUUGAGGGAGAGGUCCAUAUCAUGCUUCCCUUACUGAUGCUGAUAGAUUAUUAUAUAUGCAGAAUUCCUUCAGACCAAAGAUCAUCAAUAGCUCUCAACUAGUAAUCAAGCAUUUUCUUUGAUCUCAGCUAUCAAGAUUUCGAUUCGGACAAGCACUGCAUCAAAGAUUAAAGAAUGAGAUCCAUCCAAUGGUUACUAAUGAUCCCUUUUAAUCUUUUUCUUUAGUGCAGUGAUCUCUGCAUAAAAUUUUUGUCCAACCAAAGAUUCUUCACAGUAAUAAGAGUUUUAUUACUGUUUACAAUUUUGUGCGGUUUCGAUAAUUGCAAAAACUUUGGUCUAAUGGAUAUGUUUCCAGUGUUUUAUAUUUCAUUUGCAAACAUUUAGUGUUUUCUUUUCAUUUCAAGUAAUGAUAAAUCAGAUGUGACUUCAAGACGAUAGUUAAGGCCGAUCAAAGAAACAUUAGUGAUAUUAAGCACGUAGCUAACACAAAUCUAACAUAGAUCAUCUCAUAAUGAUCAAGAUUAUUACAAAUUGAGCUUCAUAACAGUUAGAGAUAAUUUUUGGUCAAUCAUUCACAUACCGGUUUCUAAAUUUGAGUGUGUUUUGAAUCUAGUGUUGAUCUAUGUAUGAAUUCCUUAGAUCUUGUAUUUGCACAUUCUCUAAAACAAAAAAGAUGCACAUAAAGUUUUACUUCCUUACAUAUAUUCAAGCCUUGCAGAUCAUUAGGGUUUUCACCUUUGAACACUUCCUCCAUAUUCUCAUGAACUCAAACUCUUUGUGCAUGCAACAAUCUAAUAAGACUAACAGUUCAUUCUUCUACUAACAUCAAAUCCAUGCACUUGUAAACCAUGCAAAAUAAAUGUUAGCAUCCAACUUUAAGUGCAUUGUUAUAAUAACCAAAACUAUGAUGUGGAAAGGUUUAACUUUUGAGAAAUUUGCAAUUACAAAAUGUUAUGUAUCAAAAUGAGCAUUGCACAGAUAUAUUGCAUCAUCUCCCAGUUUGAGCUUAUCAAGUCGUUACUGUGUAUUAAGUAGAUAAAGAUUGUAUGACAGAAAGACUUAGUGUUUAAAGCAACAUUGAAAGGGAAAUGGUGAAAGCAAAUUAGUAUCCUUAUGGAAUCAGAAUAGAGAAUAUUACACUUUUCCUAUAUCUUCUCUGCAACAAAGAUCUAUUUAACCAUAAUAAUAGUUUUUGUUAUGGGAGAUUAGGAAACAUAGAAUGCAUUUUUCACAUGAACCACCUUAUGCCACCAGGUUUACCAAAGAAUUAGCUUAAUUAAACCUCAAAUUUGAGUAAAUUAUUUUGUUGAUAUUGGAAAGAGAAAAGGCUGCAGUGGGAGCUAAACAACACUUUGUUCGUUGUGUGUUCAUGUCAUCAAUAAACACAUAGACCACAUGUUUUCCUCUCUCUCUCUCUCUCUCUCUCUCAGCAUCAAUAUUGUAUUCAUCAGACAACAUUGAAAGAUGCAGGUAACCACUGUUCUUAACAUGUUGUAUGCAUGUUAGCAGGUGUGGUGCAGUGAACUUUGGACUUCCAAUAAUUUGGUCCAAUUGGAUUAAGGGGAUGCAGACAUGAAGUGGACAUGUCAUGCAAUGCCUUUUUCCAUUAAAUAUAGUACAAGGAUUUGUAAUAUGAUACAAGUAACUCUGUACUUCAAGGUGGCUUGGAAAUCCUAUGUGCUGCCCAAUUUCUUCAUGUAAUUCCUACUUAAUAUUUUUAGAGAAAUUACACAUUUAUUCCUGAUAUGUUUUGUUUUUAACCAUAUUUGAGAAGAAAAAAAAUGCUGUGCUUUGACUCCAAGGAAAAUAUUAGUAAUUAAAAAAUAUUACGUGAAUCCUCUCAAAAUUAAAAGGAAAAAAAUAAUAUAAAUAAAAUAUAUAUAUAUAUAUAUAUAUAUAAUUUUAUUUUUUAUUUAAACAAAGUACUAACAGGAUAAUUGGUGGGGAGAUGAUCUCAUGUACUGUCCUUCACACGUGUCCCAACGCAAUUGGUUAAUACGUUCAAUCGAGGUGACGUUACCUCGGGGAAACCGGUUUUCAACCGACCCAGACCGGGCCAAUUUAUUAAACCGAUGCGGCCUCGACCGGGCUCCCGCGCCCACCACAGGAUCGUACGACCUGCAUUCCGCCACGUUUCCCGAGCCAAACGCGAUGGCGACGACAUCUCACGUCUCGCUCGGGCCCACUUUCCUCGUUUGCCUCGUCCCCUGGUCGGGCGGCCAUGAUUGGUGCCGUCACGGGGCGUGAUCGCGCCAUGAUUCGUGCGGUCGUGGAAACGGACGGUGGAUUUCAGGGUCGCGUGCGGGGAGCCGUGCGGGCACGUGCACGGUGAGGGCUCGGGAAGUACGCUGUGCCCACCCGGCCCAAUCGGCGGUCGACAGAGUCCGGAAUCCCUAAGAACAUUUCCCUCUCCUGCGUCCCUCUCCUGCGUGAUCCUGAUCUCUCUCUCUCUCUCUCUCUCUCUCUCUCUGUGUGUGCGCGCCCGUGUACGACGCAAGGACGAAUUGUAUACGCAAUAAAUAAUUAGGAAUCAGCAGCGGCAUUUAAGACGAUCACGUCUUGAUCGCUACAAAUGAAGCGAGGCGGCGAGAGAGAGUAGCCGGAAACCCUAAUGGAAAAGUUCCGCAGAGAGAGAGAGAGAAGGGGACGGGCGCGUUCCUCUUCUUCCAUCUUCUAUUUGGUGGUGGAUCUUCUUAUUCUUCUUCUUCUUCUUCUUCUUAUUCGUCUUGGUUUGAGUUUGUGGUCGAUUGGAAGGGGGUUGUGGAGUCUCGUCCGGGGCGGUUGGGGGGGUUGACAGAAGAGAGUGAGCACACGGCGGCGAUCGCAUCGGCGGGGUGCCAUCGCUGUUGCGUGCUCACCUCUCUCUCUGUCAUCCCGAUAUCUCCGGAUCCGUUUCUUCAUCCGAUGGCGAUCGUGGUGUCUUGGUGUGGAAGUGGUAAAAAGAGUGGUGACGGGAAAAAGGUAAGGGUGCGUUUUGCUGGACAUGCGCGCAGGCUCUUUUUUUAUGUCGGCAGCUCGUCUCUGAGCAGUCUCGUCAUGGGCGGGUUACCGAGGUAGAGAGUAGGAGUGUCGUAUCCGGUUAUGAUGGUGGUCGUGUACUUCUUUCCAUUUCUGGAGGUUUCUAUUUUUCCUGAUACAGCUACGGAAGCAAGAAAUCAAGGAAGAGGAAGACGGUGAGAAAGAAAAAUCUCAUCUUGGUGGAUCUGAGAGUGGAAGCGUGGCUUCUGCGUUGAAGGCGAUUUGCAUCGGGGAGCGAGCUCGGAUGGGUGCAGAGUCAGACGUCUCCUCACUCUCUUUAUCUUCUGCUUUCCGUCUUUAUCUUCUGCCGCUUACUCGGAUUUAUGGAAAUCGCUGUUGACCGGUCGUCGUCGUCCUCUUCUUCUUGUCUGCCUUCCUCGCCUUACCUCGCCUCACUCUCCUACUAAUGCUUCUUUCCUUCCCUUGCUUUUCUUGUCUUUUCAGAUGGAUGAUGAACUGAUCUUUGGAACUCGAAGGCCAGUUCCAUUGGUUACGAUAAUCUCGAGGUGGUGUCCUCUUGCUUCUCGUAUUAAUAUCUUUUUCUUUAUUGCUCGAAAUGUAUCGGCUUGCCUGCUUUCUGUUGCUGAUUCCGACCCUAUUCCUCUCACUUAUUGCAUGCACUUAAGGGUUGCUGCACGCAUGCAUCAAGCAAUCAUUGAGUUGGUUUUCCUGUUGGAAGUCGGAUGAAUCUGUGGAUGCUCCAUAAGGCCUCGGUAAGUCGUCGGACUUCGUUUCGUGGUCGACGUUCUACCUCAUUACUAGUUGAGGAAAGAGUCUCGUCUGCUUUUGGUUAUGCGACGGAGGGCUUUAUUCCUUUGGUCACAGGAAAGCUUUAUCACAUCGGGCAACAAUGGAGCUUCUUAUGGUUUCUUUCUCGGUUAGGGAGUGAAAUUGUGCUUUUAUAUAAUAUCCAACUUGAUGUAUAUUAGUUUACCUAAAUUCCUGUGUUCUGAUGUGGCGAUGUGAAUGGCUAUAGCUAUAGGAAUGGAAUUUAGGAAGAGAAAGUUCAUAAAUUUAGGUCUUUUCUUUGAUCUAUGCCCUAUACAAUGCCAAGAAAAUCUUGUUGACAGAACUGAAUUUUUAGGAACCCACAUAGAACAUAAGAUCAGAUAUUGUUUAUUCAUUGGAAAAUCUGUGUUUGUUUUCCACGGUAUGAAAUUAAAAUGUCUCAUGUUUAACGAGAUUGUCAAGUUUGCUAACAUAAGAUUUGAUUGAUCUGUGGUAAUUUUUUUUAUUAUAAUUAUACUUAUGAGUUUAUGAGGCAUGACUGACCCUUUUCACCCUUUUUACCAUGAAACUUCUGCCAAAUGGACUCUUUAACCACACCAUUUUUGGGGACAAGAAAACAACAAUACAAAAGCUCAAAGAAAGCUAAAUAUUGGUUGAAUGAUUGAUGAAGAAAAAGCAAGUACUGAAUCAUUGAACUUGAAGGGGAAGCAUAUUGAUUGCCUGAUGGACUAUGACAAGGAAUUGUCAGGGGGAAUUUCGGUGGUUAUAAAUCUUUUCAUUAUAGUGGAAAAGACAAUGUCCUACCAUUUAGCUCAUAAUCAUAUGGAUGAAUUGACAUUUUGACCCAAUUCAUUUGUCAUUCCAGCCCUUGUUCUUCUACAGCUAUUUGAUGUGUUUUGUAUGGAAAGACGCUAUAAUGUCGAUGUCCUUCAGAAUCAUUUACUAUUUUAUUAUACUUUCGCUUAUUUACUUUACAUAUUUAUGGUCUUUUUUUUAGUUGCUUCCUAUUGCCUAAAUGCUUGUUUAAGUUUGGUAUCGAUUCAGGAGGUUAUACAGCUCUUCCCUUAAUUGCGAAUAAUUAAGUUGUCUAUGAUGGAUAGAAAUGAAUUGCAUCUUAGUGUUGCUUGUUUUCCUGAACCCUAGUAGAGGACAGGAAUAUAAUUACCUGCAUUUUUCAUGAUUCUAAACACCUUUGUCAGACUACAGAUAUGUUCCUGUCUUUUUGUUCUUACAUUUUUGAGAAAAUAUUCCAUGCUGGCUUUCCAUCCCAAGUUCUUUAAAUUUUCUUUUAUUUUUUCUCUAAGCAGAUAGAAGCACUACCAGUUUUACUGGAUAAAUAUUGUUGCUAUUGUUAAUUCUUGAACAUAUUAUCUUAUCUAUAUUUUGCACAAUUUUCUUCAAAAUCAGUUGUCUGACUAAUUCAGCACCAUUGCUUUCUUGAUCCAGGAUUACUAUAGUUCAAUAACCUGGAAGGACACUUUUAUAACAAAGAUGUUUCUUAAAGUUAGAUUUAAGGCUAACAGGGAUUCAGAAUUUUGAUGACACAUAGAAUAAGUUUUUUAAGAAAGAAUUUACUUCUUCCAUUCAAAUACUACAUAAUGUGUGCACAAGACUCCUACAACCGGACUUGGAUUCCUUACCUUACUACACACAUUUCUCCUUGAACAGUAAACUGUCUCCUUCAAAGACCACACAGUCUAAGUGACUUUGCAAGACAGAUAUCAUCACAUUUUAAGUGAUAAUGUAUUACCAUGAAUGGUGUUUGAUUGGAAGAGACUGUAAGCAAAUGCUAUCUGGGUUGGCAUUUGUUGAAUUGACUUAUUAGUAUACAUUAAAUGUUCCUUAAUGUGCUGACUUCUUAGCUCUUAAGUGGCAUUUACUUUGUUGACCUUUUAUCGAGUCCAUCAUUUAUUCUUUUGCUACAGAAGGUCUAUAUGUGCUAUUUUGAGUGCAACACUGUCAUUUAAUGUGGCUUAGAAAUUGAAAUACAAGAUAUAGAUGGAUUUGUUGGAACUUUCUGAAAGCUUUUGUUCUUCUUGUCUGAAAUCUACUAAGCAAAUACUAUAUCUGAAAUUUAAUAAUUAAAUCCCUUCUUGAUUUGUUUCUCCAUGUCCGGACCGUCAACUAAGCUUUUGUUCUUGUUGUCUAUCUUUCUAUAUAUAUUUCAAAUUAUUGCAAUAUCUCAUAGAAGAUGAGAGCAGAAAGGCCUCCCAUGAGACAUGAGAGUAGAAAAGGAGAUCUAAGUUAAAAAAGAAAGGAAGACCCAAUGCAGAAUGUGGGUUUUGGCAGGGUUAAAUGUUACAAUCUUAUUGUUAUAGACAGAGAGAUCAUUUCCAUGAUUUAUACGUUUACCUGAAUAUAGUAGUCUUUGGUAUGCUCCUAAUUAUCUAGGAAAUAAGCUGGAAAUGCAUCUAAAUCUUACAUGAUUGGAUAAAAUUCGUGAGUACUGAAUGAUUGUGUGCUUUUGAAUGCUAAAAAAUACUUGAUAUGGACAAAUUCAUAACUUGACCAUAUCUUUUACCCGAAGUCCCUUUGUGGAUGAGGGAUGUCUUCAAUUUCAAGUUAUUUUCUUAAGGUCUGUUGUGUGGUGCUUUAGGGUUUUGCACUGCCAUUGGCAUCUUGAUGCUUUUGUCUUAUCAAUUCAUAAAUCUAAUGAAACAGUGGAUUUUUGUGAGCUUUUCUAAUAUAAGAAUAGAUUGUAAUUGUACCAUGUUCAAGAUGUGAGUUUUAUGAUGUGGUUCAUAUUUGGUGAUCAUCUUGAUAUGAGAUAAACAUAAUAAAUCACUUUCAUUUUUGUUAAGUUUAUGUCUAAGGAUUGUAGUAACUCAGCAUCAAGCAAGGAUUCUUUUUUUUUUUUCCUGAUUAUAUACAUAAAUGGUGCAUCGUUCGCUCUUCUUUAUAGCUGCAAACAUCUUCUUUUCCUUUCAUGAGUCCAAAUUGGCAAUCUCCAGGAUUUGAUUGCUGAUUUAAUUCUUGUUGUGGCGCCAAGCUCCGUGAUGAUACAACAAAAUUGUUGCUGUGUAGCAUCUACUGUUGCAAAAAUUACACAUUUGCCAAAGGUAUCAGGUAACAUCUUAGCCAGAGUUUUGGAUCUUUAACCUGAUUCAAAGUUUCAAUUGAGUCUUCACAUCUGUGGGAGUCGGUGUUUAUAUUUUGUUCCCUAAAUUUUUAGAAUUAAAUGAAAAAGAAGUUGCAGGAGGAAUUGAUUGUGAUGCUGUCGUUUUGACGGUAGCAAGAGUUUCAUAGCAGAAGAGAGCCAUCUCCAGGAGCAUCCUUCGACAACGUUUCUUCUUGUGAAUCAUUAAGCUGGAUUGGAAAGCUGAAGCAGAAGCCAUCAAGUGGAGAAGGUUUCAUCGGGUAAAGAUCCCGUUCUUUAGUUAUUGCUGCCCCUUUCUUCAUCAAGAAUUGUCAAUCAGAUAGUAAUGCAUGGAGCAGAUGGAUCCUGAAGUGGAACCAAACCUGUGACAGCAAUGUUGUGGCACCACAUUGCUCCCAUGUCAGAAGCGGGUGGAUGGUAUGGUAUGGUGAUCACUAUAGUUAUUGUGACCUUCAAUAUUUUCGGCCAUGCGAUUCUAGUUUCCAACAUGUCUGCUUUCUUUGCAGAUGCGACCGGUCACUGUGACAUGUCUUGGUGAUCUUCUUUCUACAUGUCAACAAUCCCUCAAGAAAAGAUGGGAAAGAAAGCAGAGCAGCUACACAAAACAGAGCAAGAGACUAAGAAAACCGUGGUCCUGAUCUCCAUGGCUUGUGGGGAGUGCAGAGGCAUCAUAAACAUGGUAUGCCUCUACUACCGUCCGAGUCCCAUGCAUGUCCAACCUAGAUUAGGGUUUAGUAAGUAUUAUGAGUUACAACUCACCAUGAUUCCGACUUCGAGUGGUGAUACCUAUAAUAUCGAAGAAAAGAUGUGGUGCUGUAGAUGAUGAUGAAUCUUAUUGAAAUCUACUUGUGCUUUCUGCUUUGGUUGCAGAAUACCAGACUAGAUGCACUUGAUAGCAACUGCAAGAAUUAAUGUUUCCACAAUCACAAGAGGGAAGGAGACAGAAAUGUCGUCGUGGUCUGUAAUGUUCACAGGCUGCCAUUAAUGGUGCUUCGCCAACGAGUGUGUGUAGGAAAGGGAGGACGAGGAGGGGGGGGGGUCACUGGCCUUUUUGUUCCAAAGUCAGAGCUACCAUGGUGUGAUGAAAGCUUUGCCAUGUCUUCAUUUCAAGCUCUGCUGCGGUCGGAAUCCUCCUCCUGCUUUGACUGUCUUGAUAGCCAAACAGUCAUUUUUUGAGGUAAAAGUCUCAACUGCUUUUGAUCUGCAAUCUGUGCAUUGACCUCAGGGCGCUAACUUUUCCUUCCUUUGUCGCAUGCGGCACUAUCGACGACCAAAUCCAAGUAGACAGCCAUAUAAAUUCCUCAGCCUCUCGCGUGGAGUCCGUUGCUGCCCCUCUGGAAGAAGUGAAGAGAUAGAAGUCAACUUUAAGCCACCAGAGAAAGGUGGAGAUCAGCAUGAGUCGGUCGAGAGUUGUGAUUCGGGCUAUUAAGAUAGCAAGAGGAAAUCUGUUUCACGGAUACGUGCCAUCAAAGGUGUUUUGACUUUAUCCUCACCACAAGAUUAUUUCUACAUGUGUAAGCAAUACUUUUUUUUCUCUCUUUUGUGCUGCUGAGGCGUUGACAAGUAUUCUAGGGAUGGUUGACUUUUCUUGAUAGAUAAUAUUACCACAUUGACAUAUUAUCGUAUGAACAUACUGGAAAAUGUUGACUUACUAGCAACAAAAAAAUAAACGAUGUAGAUGAUUAGCAAUUCCACCAACAAAUUUAAACUAAUUGCAUGGGACCAAAUCGCUUUCACGUCUAACCGAUUGUUGGUGAUUGAACGAUUGAGAUAUGAGGUGAAAGAGAAGAUCUCUAAAACGAUUACCAAUUAUUGAGUUUAUUAUAGAGGGUAAUAACUUGCAUAAGGAAGGCUAUAUUAUUUUCGAAAAUAAUCCUAAACAGUAUAUCCAUUUUUGCUAAGAAAAAUAUAACUCAAUAAAUCAAAAGAAAUUUAGGAUUGCAUCGGAGUGGAAGGUUUUAUGUUCGAAUCUUAUGCACGUCACUCAUUUAAAGAAAAUUAUUCAUUCCAAUUAAUUCAAGUUACCCAAACAGCCUAUGGCGAGUCAAAGUUCAGCAACCAACAACAGAUGAAUGGAGGGAUGAGAGAAUAGUACUCAACUGUUGCUCGACUCGAAACCCCAAAUAAUCAUAGAGUACGUGAACUUCUCCAUGAAAUCAAUUAUUUAUGUCCUCGAUAAAUGUAUAUAAAAGUCAAUCGAAACUUAGAUGUACAAAUAUGAAAAGUAAUAUAAUGGUCAGCUCGCCCUCUUUAUAGAUUCGACCACAAACUUUGACAAAUUUCGUUGACUUUCCCAAAAGUCAAAGCCGAAGCAUUCACGAACUCGGCCAAGCGAAGUCAUUGUUCUCGGCCGGCCGGGGGAACCGUUUAUAUGAACGCUUGGUCUUUGCACCCUCUCUCUCUCUCUCUCUCUCUCUCUCUCUGCUUCUAACUCCUCCAUGGCAUCUCGACUUGUCUUCUCCGUGUGCUGGUUCGUCCUCCUCCUCCUCCUCCUCUCUUCUGUCUGUGGCGGUAGACGCCUCCGAGGAGAGUCGACGGCGCUCACGCUCGAAUCGGUGAGGAAGUUCUUGACGAGAGAGGAGGAUAGCAUAGUGUUCAGCCUCAUCGAGAGGGCCAAGUAUCCAUGCAACGCCCCUGCUUAUGAUCCUUCUUACUUGGGUCGGGCCACCAAAUUCCAUGCCCUGUCCCUCGUCGACCUCUUCGUCAGAGAGACGGAGGCAGUGCAGGCCAAGGUUUGACUGUUGCAUUCAUCUCCUUUCUCAUGCUUUGCUCCUCUUAAGUUUUCUCUUAGGAGUUGACUUCCUUCCUGCGGAGACUCAUCUCCAUCCAUCCACUCAAAUCCUUUCCUACCGAUAACCAAUUUAAAAAUAAUUAUCAUAAUAUUAGGAGUUUGAAUUUUAUAUAUUAUUUCUCUGUUUUGCUCGGAUUGAUAUUUGCUGUCAGUGUCGAAGUUAAUGUGUGCAUUUAAAGCACGAUAUUUACUGAUCUUAACUUUUGUUCGUUUCUAAUUCCAAAUAUUUGCUACAUUACAACGUGAAUGACUUGCAAAUCAAUGUUCUAUAGGCUGGAAGAUAUCAAAACCCUGUGGAGAUCCCCUUUUUCCCAAAGGAUAUGACGUUGCCAUCAGUGCCUCCUUACAACUUCCCAAACGUAAGUAAUCUUCCUCGUCUCUCUGCAAGUGUCGGCCCAAACAGUUCUCAUCCGUGACUCUUAAUUGUGCGCGCACCCAUCGCAGGAAUUGCAUGCUGCUGCUGCAUCUGUCAAUGUCAGCGACACCAUAUGGCGUAAGUACUUCGAUGAAUGGCUUCCACAAAUCACUUCGCAAGGGGACGAUGGCAACUACGCACCGACAGCAGCUGCGGAUCUCGUGUGCCUGCAGGUAAGAACGAACGUGAAUUGCGCUUACAGGAAAUGAGAAUAGGAAGCUAAUUUGGAUACUAUUUGGCUAUGUCAGGCUCUGUCAAGAAGAAUCCAUUACGGGAGGUAUGUGGCAGAAGCGAAGUACAGAGAAGCCCCACAAGAUUACAACACUGCAAUUAGAGCUAAGGUCAAAAUGUCCCACCUAUUUAGUCGUCUAUAGGUUUGUGUAGAUCGAUACACUAGAAUAUAUGACGCUUGCUGUUCUUCGUGCAGGACAGGGAUGCCUUGAUGAAGUUGCUGACCUUUGAAAGCCAAGAAGACGCAGUGAAGAGAAGGGUGGAGGAGAAAGCCAAGGUGUUCGGGCAGGAUGUAACCUUGGGGAAAAGGGUGGACGACAGCAGCAACGUCACCAAUUAUAAGGUCGAUCCAAUGGUGGUUUAUAGACUCUACGGCGACUGGGUUAUUCCUAUGACAAAGAUGGUUCAGGUGGAAUACCUCCUCCGUCGCCUUGAUUGAUGCGUGCGCUGGAUUCCAUCUCAUGCUUUGGAUGCAAGCGAAAGAUACUUGAUCCGGUGAGGCUCCUCCGGAGGUUGAUUUGUUCUGUCGUGCAUCCCUUUCACAGCUCCAUUUGUUCCUGAAGAACAGCAAGCUCUUUUAGUAAUUUUCUUUACAAAGACACAGACAACUAUUAUGAAUAAAAAGUGCAUCGAUCCAAUUCAGAUCGCGAGUCGGUAUAGCUUCAAUCAAAUUUGAUCAGAUUCAAGCUCUUUUCUUAUCUUUUGCUUCAAUCAAACAAGCAUAACAACCUCAAGGCAAAGCUUAAGAUCCGAUCAGAUUCGAUCGGAUUGAUCCAUCAUGUCAUAGUGUAUCUAAUGAAGGGCAGAAUACCUACAUUUUCGUAUUUAAAUGACAGUAGCAAGAUUUAGCAACAUGGUAGCUUCUCAAAACUAAUAGAAAUAAUUCAACAAGAAAUACUGAUCGACAGCGCAGUUCUAUAAGAUGGUAUUAGAGGUUUUCAAUACGGAAAGGAAAAUACAAAAAUACCAACAAACAUCUGGCCCGAGUGUUAGGCGUGCCAUUGGUAUCAGAUGAAUAUAACUAGCUCAUCAUCACAAGAGGACAACCACAGGAUCCGAAAAUGGCAUCUGCAAAAGUACCACCCCAAUUUUCAGAAAGUAAUACAAAAUUCCAAAGACUUCAAUUCACUAUGCUCAGAUGCAGAAAAUGAGGACAAUGAGUGUGUUUGGUAUGAAUCGAUUAUAUUAUUAUCUUCUCAAGCUACACGAACUAUACAAAACCUACAGGCUUUGCUACACUGUAACAAGAUGCAAAAGAACACAAUGAUGGAUGUACUCGAGCAUGAACUUUCAAAUUGCAUGCCCUUUUGCUCUAAAUACUAAGGUUCUGUUAAUUGAUCGGACUAUCACAUGUAGCAAGCUGCAUUUUGGGCCAUGACCCCAUUCAAUUAGCAAGAGAAGAGUGCAAAAGGAAAAAAAAAAAGUCAAAGCGAACUGAUGGCAUGCUUUUAUUAAAAGAUUCUGAUCGAAGAUCAACAACUUCAAUGAUCCACUCUCGUGAAGUGAAAUCUAAAAAUCUCGGACAUGAUUGCUAAAAUCAUGGUUCUGUUGAAUAGACAUGUUGCUUGCUUGCUGCCAACAUAUCUAAGGGCACAGCUCAUUAGUACCUCAAAUAAUUCAAUUGCAUUGAGAAAAGUAGCCUUGUAAGCGCAAUGGAGGGGCUUCUGUAUAGCUAAGUACACUAACAUAACCAUGAACAAGUAAAUUCUGCAGUCACAUCAAAACAAGCACGCGACUGCCCAUGUACGAAGUCAUGCAAGAACACUUGCCAUAGGAUCUCUACAAUAACGGUGACAAGUACUUAAAUCCAUGAUCACAGGUCGUACAUACACCUAAGACAUAAUCUUUCUUGAUAUACUUUAUGCCUAACAUCCUACAACAUAAUGUAUUUGAAGAGUGUUAAACCUUCCAUCUAACAACUGAAGUUGAGCCCUAAUGAUAAAACAAAACGGUCCUUCAGUUUGGUGGAAUCAAUCCAAUUCAGGCAUAAAAACUUGAACAAAAUGGAUUACAGACGUGCACUCAAGCAACUCAAUUUGAUAUGCAUACAAGUUAUCUUGAAACCCUAUUUCCAUUCUCAAAAUGGUCUGUUGUGUUUUGAAAUCAAGUGUACUGGUCACAAGAUGCAACUGAUGUCACGGAUGCUAAAUAGCUAGAUUUGUUUGCCUGGGACAUGAACGACUUAUGACUCGUAUAAUAUGUAGUCAAACAAACAUAGAAAGCAAGUGUACUGGUCACGAGAUGCCAAUGGUCAUGGAUGCUAAAUAGAUAGAUAUUUUGCCUAGAACAUGGACGACAAAUGACUCAUGCAAUGUGCCGUUUAACAAACAUAGAAAGCUGACCUUGAAAGUUUCUCAUUGUGAUGACCAUCAAGAACUCAAGAAAAUGAUCAGAAAAUAAUUUCAAACAUUCAAUCAUAAAGGUGAAAAAGAUCAAGGAAAAAGACCUACCCCAAACUUCCAGGACCAUGCCAUGGUCGAGGUGCCACGGUUAUAUUCAUCAAUGCACCCUGCCUGACUAUUACUAAAGGUAUUGGAUUGCCCUGAUUGGACUGCGCUUCGGCCACGAGCCUUGAUUGCAAGUUAUCACCAUUCUCAACAUUCCCAAACCACACAAAUUCAUCGAUGAGCAGCAGACCAUCUUCUGCAGCAGGUGAGUCAAUCAGCAAUUUCAUCAAUAAUAGCAAAAGGUAUGCUCAAUACUGCUUCCUCUAUUGUCGAAGAAUCUUGAGAUGUAUUUUCAGACAGAGAAACUGACAUAUCUGCGAGUAAGCCAAAAGUUCUAGUUAGAGGAUUCAGACUUGAACCUCUAAUUACAGUACUUUCUUAUUUUAGUCACAUACUCUGACAACAACUGGAUUAACGGAUAUGUCAGAUAAGUGAGAGUCUAAAAAAAUCAUAUGGGAGCUUAUGGUCCUAAAUUAAGUCUCUUUCCCGCUGGCAAGUUUUCAGAGUUCAUAAUAAGCACCUACAUGAAGUAGUUGCUGUGGACUUCAUGCACAGAGUUAACAACUUAGACAAAGGUUCCAAACAAGCAUUAUAUCUAGAAGCAACGUCAACCUAACAUGUGCAUAUUAAGCAUGAUUAUGCUUCAAAGUAAUUUAUCAAACGAAUGACCAUUAUCAGAUAUGCAGCGUCAAUGUAAACCAUGCCAACUUACUUGUUCCUCUAACCUUAAGUACAUGACUAAGCAGACAGCACUGUUUUAUUUUAACCUCAUACCUGAACUCUUUGGCGCCAACGAGCAACUUUCUGUGAUUCCCUUGUGAUCCUUUCGCAGCACUGCAGGACAGAAAAUCUGAUUUAGCAGAAAUGUUACAUCUACUCCUUUUUUUAUGUAUCCCAAUAGAGAGUAAUAACAAAGAAAGAACCACAUCAGGCCUCUUAAGCAUCUAAUUUAUCAUAUUUGUACUCCCUCAUGUGGUACAGAAAGUGUCAAAUGAUAGAGUACUUGGCCAAGUUACAGAUCCCACUAACAGAAUAUAUAAAGAUGGGUGCCAUCAGACUGAACAAGUCAACUAUAAAUUGAACUAAUGCUAACAAAGUGCAAACUGAUAGUAACAUGUGAUGUUCUAAAUUCAAAUUCAGCUGCAACCAAAACAUAUAAUUGAAUCUUAGUCCACUAGCUAACUCCAUCAAAAAAUCUCUACUACAGCAGCUGACAACACCCAGGAGAGUAGUAAUUGCAAUACUAACAUAGUAUCAGACCACCAUGCUUCCCUAUAAAUUACAAGCAUAGAAGACAUCACCAGCGUACCAGAGAGCCGAUGACGUUGCGAUCGAACAGCCGGUGUUGCAUUCUUUUAACAUAUCAAAUAUGGAUCAAACAAUUGUUUUAUAGAAUUAAAACCUUCAUCUUGAUUCAAAAACAUACUUUAUAGAUCCAAAAUAAUGGAUUAAGAAUAUUUAUAUAAAACUUAUUUAAUCCACUAUAAUAUGUAUGAAAUCCUACAACAAUUAAUAAACAUAUUAACACGGAAGCGUACCUGAUGAAUCCAUUAGAGUAUUUUCUGAAUUGAUUAGUGAUUUGGUCUUCCAAUUGCAGAGUACCUUUUGAACUUUAGAUUUCUCUUUGACGGGUGAAGAGAAACUUCAUUCGAUACUACGACCGGGGACCAUAACCUUAUUUAUAGUCAUAACUGAUGAAUCUACAAUUAUGAUUGUAUUCAUAAUUGAUGAAUCUACAAUUAUGUCUCAAGAGUUUUAUAUUCCUAACUUAUCUCGUCAUUAAGUUAGGAAUAUGACUGAUGGUAUCCACACAAUUAAUUUUCAUAACAAUUAUGUCCCUUAGCCAAAUAACUUUACUUUAAUUAGAUCACUUUAAUUUUGGCUAAUCAAAAUAAUGGCUUAACACAUUUAAUUAUACAUGUGUGACUCUUAAAAUUCUAACAAUCUCCCACUGAGUCACAUAUGUAUCCUUAUAAAUGUGAUAUUCUUUAUGAGCUCAAAACUAUUGCCAUUAUUAAACAGGACAUACAAAACAAUCUCGUCCAUUGACCAUAUUAAUAUAGGACCAAAGCGAUUUUCGCUAUAUCAAUCAUAGCUAAAUCCAUCAAUGAUCACUAAUAUUAACAUAACCAAAUGACAUAGAUCAAUUAUGAAAUGUGUAGCAUGAAAAUUACAUGAAUGUGAUCUGUACAUGUCAAUUUUCAACUGGUCCAACUUUAUCUUUAUGAGAUCAUUAAUAACUUUAAUAGCCAUAAUGUACAAAGUAUAAUAAACUGAAGCUUUAUUUCUGAUCAGAAAAUGUCUGUACAAAUACAUAAUCUGGCAUAGUGUUACAUACAACAAACAUAUGACAGGCUCCCACUAAACUGAAGUUUCCUCAAAUUCUGAUAUACCCAUAUGAGCAGUAUGCUCAUAAAAAAAACUUGAGUGGUACAUCUUUUGUGAGAGGAUCUGUCAACAUAAAGUUUGUUCCUAAGUGUUCUAUAGAAAUUUAUUUACUUUGUACCCUUUCUUUCACAACCAGGAACUUGAUGUCAAUGUGCUUUGACUUAGUCGAGCUCCUAUUGUUGUUGGAGUAUAAAACAGCUGAUUUGUUAUCACAGUAUAUCUUUAGUAGUCUUUCAAUCCCUUGUACUAUUUGCAGCCCUGUGACAAAAUUCCUCAGCCAAAUUCCAUGAUUAGACGUCUCAAAACAUGCUACAAAUUCCGCUGCCAUAGUGGAAGAAGCAAUAAGAGAUUGCUUGGCACUACGCCAAGAAAUCGCCCCACCAGCCAAGAUAUAAAUGUAGCCCGAAGUGGAUUUCCUACUGUCUUGGCAUCCAACAAAAUCGGAGUCAGAAUACCCAAUGAUCUCCAAAUGGUCUGAUCUCCUAUAUGUGAGCAUAUGAUAUUUUGUCCUCUUUAAAUAUCUCAUGACCCUUUUAGCUGCCUUCCAAUGAUUCAUUCCAGGAUUGCUUAAAUAUCUGCCUAACACUCCAACAAUGUACGCUAUAUCCGGACGCGUACAAACUUGUGCAUACAUUAGACUCCCUACAGCUGAUGCAUAGGGAAUCUUCUGCAUUUCUUGAGUUUUCAUAUUUCCUUUAGGGCACUGAUUGAGACUGAACUUGUCUCCCUUUGCGACAGGGGUGUCUCCUGAUUUACAAUCAUGCAUGCUAAACCUUUUGAGUACUUUAUCGAUAUAGCUCCUUUGUGAUAAUCCUAGAAUACCCCGGGAUCUAUCUCGGUGUAUUUGGAUUCCUAAUACAAAAGAGGCGUCACCAAGAUCUUUCAUCUCAAAAUUUCUAGAUAAAAAUCUCUUGGUUUCGUGCAAUAAGCCUAUAUCAUUUGUGGCAAGCAAAAUAUCAUCCACAUACAAUAUCAGGAAAAUGAAUUUGCUCCCACUGAAUUUGUGAUACACACAAUCAUCAACAGCGUUCAUCUCAAAACCAAAUGAGAUAAUUACUUGAUGAAAUUUAUGAUACCACCGACGGGAUGCUUGUUUUAGUCCAUAGAUGGAUUUUAUCAAUUUACAAACCAUUUUCUUUGGGUCUCCUGACACAAAGUAUUCUGGUUGCACCAUAUAAAUUAUUUCAUCAAUGUUUCCAUUGAGAAAUGCUGUUUUAACAUCCAUCUGAUGAAGCUCUAAAUCAAAAUGUGCAGCUAGAGCCAUAAUUGUCCUAAAAGAGUCCUUCGUUGAAACCGGAGAGAAGGUCUCUUUAAAGUCAAUCCCUUCCUUUUGAGUAUAGCCCUUUGCCACAAGACGUGCUUUAUACCUCUCCAUAUUACCUUUAGAAUCCCUUUUGGUUUUAAAAAUCCAUUUACAACCAAUGGGUUUCACACCUUCUGGUAAUGGGACAAGUUCCCAAACUUUAUUGUCUUGCAUAGACUUAUACUCUUGAUUCAUUGCCUCAAUCCACUUAUUCGAAUUAGAAUCCUCCAUGGCUUGACGGAAGUUGAUUGGAUCAUCUUCCAUUAUACCACUACUUUCUUCAUGUUCCUGGAGAAAUACCAUAUAAUCAUCCGAAAUGGUACUCCUUCUUUCCCUAGUGGAUCGUCGCAAAGAUAUUGGCUCUUGCGGCACAGAUUCUUGAGGAUGUUGAGUUUGUUCCUCAUGAAUAAUUUCUUCAUACUGCAUAGGAGUUGAAAUGACUAUAUCCUUUUGAGGUAUAGAUUUUGCCAUAUUAGUAGCAACUAUAUGAAUCGGAUCAAACUGAACCAAUUCUUCCUCAAAGGUAAAGUCUUUAAUCUUAUUUCUCCUCCCAAACUCAAUAUCCUCAAAGAAUGUAGCAAUACCCGUCUCAAAAAUAUUUCUUGAUUUUGGAUCAUAAAAUUUAUACCCCUUAGAUCGCUCAGAAUAACCAAUAAAGUAACUGCUCAUUGUUCGGGGUUCCAAUUUAUUUUCAUUAGGCCUGUAAGGCCUUGCCUCAGCUGGACAACCCCAUACACAAAAGUGUCUUAAACUAGGCUUUCUCCUAGUCCAAAGUUCAUAAGGAGUUUUUGCAGUUGCUUUAAUUGGUACUCUAUUAAGAAUGUAAGCUGCAGUUUUUAUUGCUUCUCCCCAGAGUGACUCUGGCAAAGUAAAUUGAGAAAUCAUACUUCUUACCAUGUCCUUAAGUGUGCGGUUUCGCCUUUCAGCUACACCAUUCAUGCUAGGUGACCCAGGCAUUGUAUACUGAGGGACAAUUCCACACUCCUCUAGGUAUAAAGCAAAUGGUCCUGGACGUUGUUCACCUGAGCCGUCAUUUCUGCCGUAAUAUUCCCCUCCACGGUCAGAUCUGACGCUUUUUAUCCUUUUGCUGAGUUGAUUUUCAACUUCAGCUUUAAAUGCUUUGAACACCAGUGAUUUAAAAAGCACUAGGCGCCAAAAGGCGCCAAGGUCCAAAAACGCCCGAGGUGCUAAGCGCUCGCCCGAGCGAAGCGAGGCGCUAAAAUAUAAAAAUAUAAUAUAUAAUUAAUAAAUAUAAUUAUUUAAAAUUUUAAAUAAAAAUAUAAAAAUAUAUAAUAUAAUUAAUAAAUAUAAUCACAUUAACAGUAUAAACCUGCUGACGGAGAAACGAGGAAGCAGCGGCGGCGAGCGGCGGCAGCGGCAGCAGCAGCGGCGGCGAGCGGCGGCAGCGGCAGCAGCAGCGGCGAGCGACGGCAACGACAGCAGGAAAGGGAGCGGAAGGCGCGAGCAGCGGGAGGCCUCGAGGGAGGCGCGAGCAGCGGGAGGGCUCGCGGGAGGCGUGAGCAGCGGGAGGCCUCGAGGGAUGGCGCGAGCAGCGGGAAGGCUCGCAGGAGGGCUCGCAGGAGAUGCGAGCAGCAAGAGGGCUCGCGGGAGGCGCGAGCAGCGGGAGGGCUCGCAGGAGGCGCGAGCAGCGAGAGGGCUCGUGGGAGGCGCGAGCAGCGGGAAGGCUCGCGGGAGGGCUCGCNNNNNNNNNNNNNNNNNNNNNNNNNNNNNNNNNNNNNNNNNNNNNNNNNNNNNNNNNNNNNNNNNNNNNNNNNNNNNNNNNNNNNNNNNNNNNNNNNNNNNNNNNNNNNNNNNNNNNNNNNNNNNNNNNNNNNNNNNNNNNNNNNNNNNNNNNNNNNNNNNNNNNNNNNNNNNNNNNNNNNNNNNNNNNNNNNNNNNNNNNNNNNNNNNNNNNNNNNNNNNNNNNNNNNNNNNNNNNNNNNNNNNNNNNNNNNNNNNNNNNNNNNNNNNNNNNNNNNNNNNNNNNNNNNNNNNNNNNNNNNNNNNNNNNNNNNNNNNNNNNNNNNNNNNNNNNNNNNNNNNNNNNNNNNNNNNNNNNNNNNNNNNNNNNNNNNNNNNNNNNNNNNNNNNNNNNNNNNNNNNNNNNNNNNNNNNNNNNNNNNNNNNNNNNNNNNNNNNNNNNNNNNNNNNNNNNNNNNNNNNNNNNNNNNNNNNNNNNNNNNNNNNNNNNNNNNNNNNNNNNNNNNNNNNNNNNNNNNNNNNNNNNNNNNNNNNNNNNNNNNNNNNNNNNNNNNNNNNNNNNNNNNNNNNNNNNNNNNNNNNNNNNNNNNNNNNNNNNNNNNNNNNNNNNNNNNNNNNNNNNNNNNNNNNNNNNNNNNNNNNNNNNNNNNNNNNNNNNNNNNNNNNNNNNNNNNNNNNNNNNNNNNNNNNNNNNNNNNNNNNNNNNNNNNNNNNNNNNNNNNNNNNNNNNNNNNNNNNNNNNNNNNNNNNNNNNNNNNNNNNNNNNNNNNNNNNNNNNNNNNNNNNNNNNNNNNNNNNNNNNNNNNNNNNNNNNNNNNNNNNNNNNNNNNNNNNNNNNNNNNNNNNNNNNNNNNNNNNNNNNNNNNNNNNNNNNNNNNNNNNNNNNNNNNNNNNNNNNNNNNNNNNNNNNNNNNNNNNNNNNNNNNNNNNNNNNNNNNNNNNNNNNNNNNNNNNNNNNNNNNNNNNNNNNNNNNNNNNNNNNNNNNNNNNNNNNNNNNNNNNNNNNNNNNNNNNNNNNNNNNNNNNNNNNNNNNNNNNNNNNNNNNNNNNNNNNNNNNNNNNNNNNNNNNNNNNNNNNNNNNNNNNNNNNNNNNNNNNNNNNNNNNNNNNNNNNNNNNNNNNNNNNNNNNNNNNNNNNNNNNNNNNNNNNNNNNNNNNNNNNNNNNNNNNNNNNNNNNNNNNNNNNNNNNNNNNNNNNNNNNNNNNNNNNNNNNNNNNNNNNNNNNNNNNNNNNNNNNNNNNNNNNNNNNNNNNNNNNNNNNNNNNNNNNNNNNNNNNNNNNNNNNNNNNNNNNNNNNNNNNNNNNNNNNNNNNNNNNNNNNNNNNNNNNNNNNNNNNNNNNNNNNNNNNNNNNNNNNNNNNNNNNNNNNNNNNNNNNNNNNNNNNNNNNNNNNNNNNNNNNNNNNNNNNNNNNNNNNNNNNNNNNNNNNNNNNNNNNNNNNNNNNNNNNNNNNNNNNNNNNNNNNNNNNNNNNNNNNNNNNNNNNNNNNNNNNNNNNNNNNNNNNNNNNNNNNNNNNNNNNNNNNNNNNNNNNNNNNNNNNNNNNNNNNNNNNNNNNNNNNNNNNNNNNNNNNNNNNNNNNNNNNNNNNNNNNNNNNNNNNNNNNNNNNNNNNNNNNNNNNNNNNNNNNNNNNNNNNNNNNNNNNNNNNNNNNNNNNNNNNNNNNNNNNNNNNNNNNNNNNNNNNNNNNNNNNNNNNNNNNNNNNNNNNNNNNNNNNNNNNNNNNNNNNNNNNNNNNNNNNNNNNNNNNNNNNNNNNNNNNNNNNNNNNNNNNNNNNNNNNNNNNNNNNNNNNNNNNNNNNNNNNNNNNNNNNNNNNNNNNNNNNNNNNNNNNNNNNNNNNNNNNNNNNNNNNNNNNNNNNNNNNNNNNUGAAAAACCCAUCUUUGGAUUGAUUUAUCAUUUACAUGUAUAACUUUAUAAUUAUCACGUAUUUACCAUUACAGGUAUGUAUAAAAUCCUGCCAGUUAUUAACCUUCCUUUGGGCCGGAUAAUUACUGUAUGGAUGUAAAUACAAACUACAUUUAAUAUUUUCAUGAGAAAUAUUAUAUAUGAGAGGUCACUUUGGCGACUUCAUAUAUUAAAUUACUCAAUCUAAUAUUAAACAAUCACUAAUUGAAUUUGGACUAUAUUAGUCAAAUUGGUUUGAUCUUAAUUUGUUAACUAAAAUAUUUAAAGCAUGUAAAUCAUUCAAUUUAUGUCAACAAACAACUUUAUAGAACCAAUAUUAUGUUUAAUCCAACAUAAUAUUGCAACAAUAUUAUUAAACCAAUAUAAUAUUACAACAAUAUCUAAUUAAUUAAAUUCAUAUUAAUUAGAUAAAAUCCAAAAAGAAUUUGGGAAAUUUAUACCUUGUAGUGCAAAAAUGAAUUUUUACAUAUUGAUGAAUAGGAAAAGACACGAAGUGGAAAAGAUAAUCCAAAAUUAAACUAAUAUCACAUCAGAAAAAGGUACUGAAUUGAAUGUGAAGCAUACUGUAGCAUGAUUACAUAAAAUCAUAAUCUUUUCUAUCGAUAAUAGAACCAAAUCACUUCAAAAUAGCAUUAUUACAUAAAACUAUCAUCUUUCCCAACGAUGAUAGAACCAAAUUACUUUAAAAUAUUGAUGAAAACAUCAUUAAAAUUCAUAAGAAAAAAGCUUAAAUGUUCAUCAAUCAUUGUAGGAUGGCUCUGAUACCACUUGUUGCAUUCUUUUAACAUAUCAAAUAUGGAUCAAACAAUUGUUUUAUAGAAUCAAAACCUUCAUCUUGAUUCAAAAACAUACUUUAUAGAUCCAAAAUAAUGGAUUAAGAAUAUUUAUAUAAAACUUAUUUAAUCCACUAUAAUAUGUAUGAAAUCCUACAACAAUUAAUAAACAUAUUAACACGGAAACGUACCUGAUGAAUCCAUUAGAGUAUUUUCUGAAUUGAUUAGUGAUUUGGUCUUCCAAUUGCAGAGUACCUUUUGAACUUUAGAUUUCUCUUUGACGGGUGAAGAGAAACUUCAUUCGAUACUACGACCGGGGACCAUAACCUUAUUUAUAGUCAUAACCAAUGAAUCUACAAUUAUGAUUAUAUUCAUAAUUGAUGAAUCUACAAUUAUGUCUCAAGAAUUUUAUAUUCCUAACUUAUCUCGUCAUUAAGUUAGGAAUAUGACUGAUGGUAUCCACACAAUUAAUUUUCAUAACAAUUAUGUCCCUUAGCCAAAUAACUUUACUUUAAUUAGAUCACUUUAAUUUUGGCUAAUCAAAAUAAUGGCUUAACACAUUUAAUUAUACAUGUGACUCUUAAAAUUCUAACAGCCGGAACUCGAUAUCUGCCCUAGGAAACCCCUAUAUCAACAUCGAAGCUCAAUUUUAGAAGGAACGAAGGGCUUCCACUAAAUACUCCGAAAAUCGAUCAAUCCGAAGACGUAGAGCGUGAAAGCGAUGGAGAGAUCAAAUCAGAAGGACGGAAGGGCAUUCACUAAAUAGAAGAAGAAAGGGAUCCCGUUGGUGUCCUCCUCGAUCGGUAACGGGCUUGGGAUUUGGGGAGAGACAUCGUCACCUCGGAGUCGACAAGGUUGCCGGAGAGCCCGGGGCCACCAGGGCCGCAGAGGGACUCGAUGAUACCGUUCAUCUCGCCUGCAUGGCCGCCCGCAUGUCCAUCAGCGAGAUCGUCUCCGCCUUCAGAUUCGCCGCCACCAUUCUUGCACCGGAAUCGUCGGGUUGCUCAUUAUAUAUAUAUAUAUAUAUAUAUAUAUAUAUAUAUAUAUAUAUAUAUAUAUAUAAUAUUUUUUGGUCACGUGCGACAUGUGUGAUGCCUCUUCCUGUGGAGGAGUAUCGUUUGGAGCGUAUCGGAUUCGGAUUCGAAUCCGAAACUAAAACGUAUCGAAGUGGACGCUUCGCCCGUCUCAGUCGAACUCGUCCCGUUCAUCGUUGCAAGCGGAAGAGCUUGCGAAGUGUCUUCGUCGGCUCUAAUGUAGAGGAGAGAUCGAAUUAGAGAGAGAUGUUGAAUUCCCUUCAUCAGCCUGCGAUGCUGAGUUCCCUUUCGAUUGUAAGAGACGUCAGGUUUGUGUUUAGCUGACUUAGCUAGGCUAAGAACCAACAAGUCUGCUUAACUUAUGUUGAGAGGAUGAGGAAAGGAUACCACAUCUGGCUGAUGAGCAAAGGUGGCUGAUCUCAACAUUGUAAGGAUUGCACCAGUGAUAAUUUUUCAUACACACCAUAUGGCCCAUCUGAAACACACUGUUGUGAGAGAAUAAUGCAACAGAAAUUGCCAUCAAAUAAAACUAUCCUUUGUUAACAUAAUAAAAUAUUAUUCUGAAGAUUUUGCUUCUAGCAAUAUGCUAGAAUUUCAUAUGAACUGUAAGCCAACAAAAUAAUGGGCUCUUACAGAAAUUUGUAUUACAAUUCUGCAGCAUGAUGAAGAAGAAGAGCCUUUUGGCAUGUCAGAUAUACUCUGAAUGACUACUUACAAGGGCAUUAAUCUUCUGUACUUGAAAUACCACAGGAACAAACAAAAAAUAACUAGGCCGCAUACUCCAGUAAUCACAAGUACCCACUGGAAUGCGGAUGGUACGUCAAAUAAGGCGAUCUCAAAGUUCAUGCCAAAGAUCCCUGCAACAACCCCAAAUAUGGCGACGACAAAUGUUGCAGUAGUUAGUAGCAACUCAAACUGGAUCAACUGAUUCCGGACAUCAUCCUGAAAGAAGAAGUAAUCCAUGUCAAACGGAAGAGCAAUAUGACUCGAGUAAGGAUUUUACUAAAUCAAUUAUUCAAAACAACAAAUGCAUAUGAGGAACAGAACUGAUGGCCUUUUUUUUUGCAUAAAAUACUGCGAUAUGUAUUCUUGGUGCUAAAGCAGUGUAAGUGCAGCGGAAAAAUUUAUAUGUCAAAUACUAAUGGAUUUAGGAUCACUUGAAGUUAUAAAAUUGAUGUCCAUUUCAUGAAUGAUACAGUUUGAUAACAAACUAGUGCCGUUAGUGAUAGUAAAGAAAACAAAACCCGAUAGAUGGCCUGAUGGUUCGAUCCUUCACGACUCAGUAUGUAAUUUAUUGUACAAUUUUCCAAAGCAAAAAAAACAUGAUACAAACAGAAGAGUAUCGACCAUAGUAUCACUACAAUGCUACUUACAAUUAUCAGAUGGAAAGAACAAUGCAAGAUACAUGAUAAUUCUAUGAAAAUGCAAGCAGUGUCCGGCAAAAGUCUAUAGCAAUAUAACUCAACUUCAUUUAACCUUAAGAUAUAGUACUAGUCCUCAUAAAAAAAUUUGAGGUUACCAUUUUCACUAGAGAUCUACAAAGUACAAACCUACCUGCAACCUCUCAGAUGGCAGUUGCUUGGCUAGCAAAGCAAAGGCUUUAACAAAAACUAGACAAAGAGCCUUAUUCCAACUGAGCGCAGUGUAGAAUAGUGUCUACCAUAUCUGAGUAGCAAAGUUUAAGCUUGAGGCACUCAUUCAAAAACCAUAUCUGACCGUUCAAUUCUAAACUACCAUUGUUCUUAUCUUGUCUUAUGUCUAAUACAAAGCCACUUCCAUACUGGCUAAGAGUGUAAUUUUUCAAACACGAUACAUAUACUGAUACUUCUUUCAAGGAGAUGGGAAUAUCCUUCACCACUCGAGUGCAAACUGAAGUAAAGAAAUUUUGGAGAAAUAAAUAAAUUUUGAUCAGCAGAAUAAACAAAAAAAUUUCUGUCGGAGUCAAUUGGUUUGAUGUCCUAUAACAAAACAGCAGUUGCUGUUUUAUAUGCUCCCAAAUUAGGGAAAGUUGAACUUGUCAAGUUACUAUGUUGCUAAAAGUGCAAGAUGUUUCCAGCGGAUUUAAAUUCCUGUUCCAUAAGGCUACCUAGCUUGGUAUAGCGACAACCUAUAUGUGAACAUAAACUGCACUGGAGAUUUUGCUGCAUUUCACAGUCAUCACAGCUGGCAUCCUUGUCAAGCAAGUCAAAGACUCUAUCAACAAUGUAUACCAUUCAACAUACAUCCAUCAUUAGAUAGCAAAAGUUCUUACAUGAACUGGUGAAGACAUAAUAUUAUUCAAAUAUAAAUGUACCAUUAAACCAUUCCAUUACAGUAUAAGCAGGUUAGGUAGCAAAGAAAUUAUUAGAUCCAUGUCAUCAUGUUUUUCGUCAGUCAGGAUUUUAAAAUACAAGUUAAAGAAUAUGGAUGUAAUUGUUCACCAAGUCUGCUCUAAAUUGUACACCAUAUGAUAAAAAGUGAUUUCAGUUUGGAAAUAAGCUUCUUCUUUUUCAUUUCCUCGUAUUCGAUGAUAAUGGAUCAGUACUCAUGCCCAUUAACACUUACAAGCUCGUACUCUUUGUUAAUAUAAUAAUUAUAGAACACUCUAGCAACAAUUUCAAUAUAAAUGUCUUUUACAAAUGGAUACAAGCAAUUAUUAACCUUGAUUUAAAAAACAUCAGGAAAGCAAGAGCAAAAAAUACCAGCUGAAUGUUAAUGAAAUCCUCUGUGUCAUCAAUAUACUCCUUCAACUGCAAAAAAAAAAAAAAGUGCAACAGACCAACUGUUCAGAUUUUCAAAUAUAUGAUAACAGGAUAGUUAUGAAAAUAUUGCAGUGCUUACCGAAGUUAGCUUGUUCAGGGUGCUAUCAAUGACCACAAAGUAAGCUUCCAACAGCAUUUCCAACUCUUCUAUGUUCGAUGUAGUGCUGCUGGAACUUUUCAUACUGUCAUGUCUGCUCCUGGCAAGACUUAAAGCCUUCUCGAGCCUUUUAGAUUCAGGUGGUGAAGAAACAGGUGAAACUGGAGCAGAAACUGAUACUCCACCAGCAGAAUUGAACCCAUGGAAAGAUUGAUCGCCACAAAAUGAUGCUUCCAUCCGCCUUUUUUUGUCUGUUAGAUACAUUUCAGCCAUAUCACCAUCAUCAUCCAUCAACUGCUCAAUUUCAUCUCUGACCUACAAAAGCUUGGCAUAUAAUUAGCAAGUCUGAAAACAAUGAUAAAUUUGUUAAGCAGCAGAUAACGUGUUGGCAUACCUUUUGAACUCUCCGAGUCAAAGCAAGAAGCCUGCUUUUUAAGCGACGGACACGUUCCAAGUUAGAAGUACUGAUCUUCGAUGUCAACUCAUCCAAUAAGGGGUACGCUUCAAUUUCGAGUUCUGCAGCCUAAACAAUCAUGUAGAGAACUUUGAGUUUUCUAUAGCUAAUUCCAGAAGUACUCAUAUAUGCACCACCGAUCAAAUCACAUUCAUUAAGUACAAGUUCAUUUGAGGAAACUUUGAGCCUUCACAAGUACUGUAUGAUCAGGAACAACCAACUAUAGGACAGAAUCCUUGGCAGGAAAGAGUUGCACCAAUAUAGGACAAAUAAGUAGCUCGACAAGAAGAAUUCACCAUACACCAAAUAUGAGUGAAAAUCUUCUACGUCCUCAUAGCAUGGGGAUAGUCAUAGUCAUAUAAAAGUAGUCAAUCAACAAAAAAGCAAGUUCAAUUUUUUAAUCAUGUCUUAAAGGAAUGUCAAAAGUUGAUUACCGAACCCAUCUCAAGGUUAUAUUUGCUUACAAGAUUGCUUGAGAUAAUCAACUCUUCCAUUUUCAGAUAAAGGUGCAGUUUUAUUAUUUGUAGCUUAUUGGUAAUAAAUGCUUUUACUCAGUAAGCAGCAGGUAGGAAAAAAAAAUAGUAGAUCAGUGAGAACCUUCAGCAUUUAAGUCUGUGAGAUUAGCCAUAUCUUUUCUUACUCAAUAUAACCAUGUGAUGGCUUAUUACCAAAAUGAUCAAAUCCUUUCUCCAGCAUUAAUGUUGUGAAGAACUGUGUAUUGCUACUUGCCAUUGAAUUAAUUUGCUUAUCAGCAAGUAUAUCUAUUUUUAGGUCGUGCAUUGAUGCCAUCAUUUACUUAAUCCAUCAUCCACCAAACCCUUUAAUUGCUUAUACAAUUGCCUGCAAUGGUUAUUGGAGAGGCCAUUGUCUAACACCAAUUUAAUGUCAUAUCAAAGAUAGCCAAAAUCUUUACUCAAAUGGCAUCAAUUCUACAUCCAAUUCCAUUUCAAUCUAAACAUAAACGUUAGAUUUUAUCUAUUUAUCCACGGAUAAUCAACUAAAACAUACUCAAGAUCCUAAUUUUGACAUCAGUUUCCAACAGUAGUUAGUUUCAUAUCACUCACACCACUAUGUAUAAAUGGUGAAACAAUGAAAGCAAGAAAUUAAAGUGAAGUUUCAGGAAUUAACACCAUAUUAUUGCGUAAAAGACCUGGAAUUGAAUCCAAAUCAGACUAGAAGAGAUCGCGAGAAUAGACGAGAAGAAAGAAAAUAUCGCACUUGUGCGUCGAGGAAAGUGCGAGAAUAGACGAGAAAGAAAAGAUCGCACCUGUGCGUCGAGGAAAGUGCAGGCGGCCUCGAGGGCGACCUCGAGGGCCCGGAAUUCGAACGGCAGGUCAUCGGGCGACGGCUCACCACCAGCGAGCACGUCUCCCGAGCCGGCCGCGAGGCGGCGCUGCAGCUCGAUCACAUAUUGCAGGACGUAGCUGUCGAGGGAGUUGAGGAGAAGCACCUCGUCGGCGGUGAUGAUGCACCGGAUCUGCUCGAGGUUGACGACGAUCGCCCGCUCCCGGCCGAGGAUGGUGGAGGGGUAGACGAAAAGGGGAUCGAGGAGGCGGAGGUCGCGCGCGGGGAGGUCGCACCGCCGCAUCAUGGUGAACUUGUCCACCUCGAUGACUUGCGACGCGGCCGUGGCGGCGUCGACGCGGAUCCAGGAGCGGAGGCUCUGCCCCCGCUUCUUGAGCCCGGAGAAGUCGACGCCCUGGAAGAGGGGGCGGCGGCCGGUGGUGGACUCGCGGGCCGCCGCGACAGCCACGGCGGAGGUGGAGGUGGAGGGCUUCCGGGGGAGGAGCCGCUCUCGGAGCUCCGCCAUGGGGGAAGCGGCGGAAGGAAUACGAAGUAGACGGCGGAGCGGGGAGGAAGAAGGGAAGCGGAAGCCUAUCGUCUUCGUUAUCUUAUCUACCUAUUGAUCUACCGAACCAUCGGUCUAUUGAUGGCACCAGAGGCAGUCGCCUUCUCCUCCUCGAACUCGAAGGCGAGAUGGAUUGCGAGGAGAUGCGGGUAGGCGAAGGAUCGCACGACUCCGCAAACUUCCAACGGGUUCGAGACCUUUUGCCCACUCAUUGUCUGGGGCCCGGUGGGGCACGGAGGAAGACGUCGGCUCAGCCGUCUAGGCUGAAGCACCAUUCAGGGUCUACCGUCCUGACACGGUUGACCGGUGGGGCCCUUACUACGAGAUCACUGUGUUGUGGUAAGUGGAAUUCCGUUAAUCCUGUGUCAGAUCACACGGCUGAGCCCGAACAAUAAAGGCGGAGUGGUGCGAAACACGGGACCAAAGCAUACGCAAGGGUAGAUUCAUGCUGGAUGUGUGUAUAUAUUCGCAUCAAUGAGCUCAUCAAAAUGUCCGAGUAGUACGAAUCCAAUCCAUUAAUGUUUGGGCUCCCAUCUACUCUCUUUUUCAUAAAUAAUUAAUCUCCCAAAAAAUCAUUUAAAGAAUAUUUUUAUAAAUAUAUCUGAGGUUAUUUUUUAAUAAAAAUACCACAUAUAAUAUUUUUCGAAAAUAAGUAAUAUAUACCAUUUAAAAUUAAAUUUAGUCUAUACACAUAUAAUAAGAUUAAUUUUGAUCAUCGAUUUGAAAUUAAUUCAACCUGUCUUAUUUUUUUAAGCAUUUGCUUUCUCGAUUGUGUUGGGGGAUUAUUUAUAGUAUUAACAUAUGUUAGAUGUUUUAUUGCUUAUGUUAUAGAUGGAUAUAUUAUAUACAAUGAUAUGUUUUUUUUAUGCUUAUGACAUAUUUUGGACUAUGUCAAAUAUUUCCUUUUUAUUUUUUGUUAUUAGGUGGAUAUCAUGGAUAUUAGGAUCAUAAAGAGGGGAGGAGGGCAAAUUAAUAUUUUUGAAAAGUUAAAAUGAUAUGAAAAUUCAUUCGAUCAAACUCCUAUAGGAAAUAUGUUUAACUUGGAAUGAAUAAAAAUAGUGAGCAACUAAAUAAGUAAACAAUAAGAAUCAAAAGCACAAAGGAAAUGCACACCAGAUUUAUGGUGGUUCAGUUAUCACGACAUACGUCUACUCCUAAUUCCUCGUCUGUCGAGGUUAUCGGAUUUCAUUAGUGAUAUUCUUUCAAUGAGCGAAGAUCAUCCAAUCUUAUUACAAUUUUUUUUUCUUUUCACAUGUUUAGGAGAGAACAUUUACAACUCUCUUUUACAAGUGAUCAUCACACCUCCCUUAAAAUGACUUAGAAGUUAGUGGAGGAAGAAACUUAAGACUUUCAAUAGAAUUUGCACACUUAGAAUUAUAAGUUUUUCGUGCUCUUUUCUUGCUGCAUUAAGCCAGAUUGAAUGAUAUAUUUAUAAGCCUCAAAUUAUUUAAAAAAUGGAGCCAAAAAAUCCUAUCCCUGGAUUUUUGGGAUACUAACAGUACUAUCGCUAGUGUUGGGCAAUACCAUCACCUGUAGCAUUGAGCACUAAAAGUACCACCACCAGUCUGGGUGGUAAUACUGUCUGACAAUCUAGAAGAUUAUGUACUGACGGUACUAUCAUUAGUAUAAGUGAUACCAUCGUCAGUUUGGGCGAUACCACUGCCUAUACACUAGUAGUACCAUCGUCGAGUUUUUCGAAAAUGUACACUUGAUACUUUCUAGCUCAUAGGCGGUUUCACCACUUGAACCAACUUUAGGUUAUUAAAUUGACCUUUCAUUAGACUCAAUUCAAGUCCAAUAAUCCCCUAAUUAAGUUGACAUGGUUACAUUGAAAACUAACUCAAUUAGACUUAUAAACUACUUCGAUCAAGAUACAAACGAUUACAAACAUGAAUCAUAUAUUGUCCGACAUGUCAUUUGUUCAUUUAGUGCUUCGUCCGAAACUUUGAUGCAUUGUCCUCUCAUUCGGUAUAUUGUUCGAUCCAUCGGUAUAUUAACCUCCUACAAUAUACGAUCUUCUUGGCACAAUGUUUGAUCCUUCUAGCUCGGUGCCCGAACUCAUGGCACGAGAUCCAUUUUCUAGUAUGUCAAUCAAUCCUCUAGUCCGAUGUCUAAUUUUUUGAUAUGAUACUCUCCGACCAUAUUUGAUUCUCCUACUUCAAUUGAUUUAUCUUUCUAUAAUUGAAGUUAGUCUCACACCACUCAAAUGCUCAUUAAAUCAUAACUUCAUAAAUUGAUUUCAUCAAAAUUCAAGAUUUAAUAAUGGAUACUUUAGAACACAUUAAUUAUUUUAUUUUGUUUUUUAUCUUAGAUAGAUUUAUCAUAUAAAAGUGAUGCUUUUAAUGAUAAUAUUGUUAGGAACUAGUGGUGGGGGGUGACUCAGUGCACCGUAUAGAAGAGCGUAGUGGAUGUAAAGAAAGUAAACAAAGUGGUUUGCAGUUAAAGUAAAUUAUACAAAAGAAAAAGCAAACUAGAUUUUUAUAAUGGUUCAAUCGUCAUGACCUACAUCCACUCCACCGAUUCCUCUUCCGUCAAGGCUACCGAUAUCCACUAUCGGUCUUCCUUCUAUAGACGAAGACCAAUUAUCUUUUAUAACUCGAUUCUCCUUUUACCGGGUUAAGGAGAUAACCCUUAUACCCCCACUUACUCCUCUCUCAAACAAUUCUAACACUUAGAACUUUUGAGAGGAGUUCAUAUAAGACUUCAAUAGCAUUUCUUUCUAUUUUUACUCUCAAUUCUUGUGUCUCUUAACCAAAUAUGAGAGGGGUAUUUAUAGGCUUCAAGUUGAUUCAAACUUGGAGCCUAAAAACAUCUCAUCCCGAGUCUCCCGAGUACGGGCGGUACCACCGCCAGUGUUAGUCUGACAUUAACACUGCACUAGGACGCCCAGAUCGGCGAAAUCAUCGCCUGACAUAGUCUCAAAGACUAUGCCAUGACGGUGCCACCUAUUGGGUCACUGUUUGGGCAUUUCAUUGGGCUCAACACAGUCCUUAUAUGGGCCCAACUGACCCCUAAUUGUGUUGGCUCAAUUUCAAUCUCAAUUAUGUGAUAACUAUAAAUUUUAAGACAUUUACUAAGCUAAACAAGUUUGUAAGUCUAGUUUCUUCCGACGAGCUUCUGACGAUCUUCUGAUGAUCUCUCGGUAAUGUUCUAGUGGACUCCCGGUAAGCUCCUGGACUUCACGAUGAUCUUCUUAGCGAGUUCUGACGAACUUCUUUGGCAAGCUCCUGGACUUCUCGAUUGGUUCUUGCAGAACUUUCGACGAACUCUCGAACGCCCAACAAAAUCUCGUUCUCAACUUCGGGACUUCAUUUUGCUUUAUGUCUUGCUAUCGCGGUUAUUCCUGCAUACAUAAAACACACUUCGAUCUAGAUAAUUAUUACUAAGCAUGAAUCAUAUUAUCCGGCAUGUCAUUGGUCCAUCGACGCUUUGUCCGAUUCUUCGGCGCAUCGUCCUCUCUUGUGUCCUAUUGCCCAAUCGAUUAGUUGACUUCUGUAACUCUGAUAUCCUUGGUGCAAUCUCUGCUCUUUUUGGCCUGAUGCCCGAAUCUAUGGCCCGAAGCAUUCUAUCGAUAUGUCGACCGAUCCUCUAGCACGACAACUAAUCUUUUGACAUAUUUUUCUCCGGCUCAACAUGAUUCUUCCUGCUUUAAUCGUCUCUCCCUGAUCGAAGCAUCCUGCGUCAUUCAAAACGCAGAUUAAAUCUUAAAUACUUAUCAAUUAGUUUCAUCAUCAAAAUUCGAGAUUCAACAAAUAUGAUGAAAAAACAAUUAGUGUGCAUAAUAUUUUUAUAUACUUUUAUUGUUAAUAUUAAUAAAAAAAUAAUUAUAUGAUGAAAAAAGAUCUCAUACCAAGAUAUCUAAUAUAUAUAUAUAUAUAUAUAUAUAUAUAUAUAUAUAUAUAACACUCUAAUAUUUAAAUUAUUUUUUUCUCAUUUUUGAUGCCUAAUUAAAUUAGGAGUUGUUACAUUAUGUCAAUAUAAUAAAAAAAUAACAGGAAAUUUUCAGGAUUUUUUCUUAUAUAAUUAUCAUUCACUGAGUCCAUUCUCGCUUUAUAUGACUCAAUGUUAGGAAAAGCAAGAGAAUAAAUAAGAAACGAUGCAAUUUUCUCUCAAUUUUAAUUGAUAAAGCUCAAUCGACAAGCAAAGCUAUAAGCUUCUCCACGUUUGGUUGCUUUCUUGUUCUACUUGAAAUGCCCAGAAGGACAAAGUAGAAGAAGAUGCAGAGCAGCAGCAGCAGCACUGAGAUGCUACCAGUCAUCCGCUGUGAUGCUGGAGGAGGACAUCUCGAUGCUGGACGACGCUAUUAUCCCACGGGACGACGUGAACGUCACGGUCGUGUCGCCUCCAAGGUACCGUUUCAGCCUGUCUAAGUCGUCGGCGGCGUCGAGCAUGGUCGGCCGCCCGGCGGGGCUCUCGUGGGAGCAGACGAGGCCCAGUUCCAGCAGCUCCAUGAUCGCCACCUCCCACACGUUCCUCACCUCCAGCCUCUGGUCGCACGCCUCCCUCAUCAGACCCGAGUCGAUGACGUCCUCCGGUCGACUGCGGUAAUGCCUCUUUACCCACCGCUGCAAGCUCAGACCGUCCUCGCUGCCGAACAUGCCGUCGGUAGGCCUCUUCCCGGUGACCGUCUCCAGCACCAGGAUCCCGAAGCUGUAGACAUCUCCCUUCGUUGACGUGCUCCCGCCGUAUCCGUACUCUGUUCGAGCUCAGAAGCAAGACGACGAACGAAAGAUUACAUCUUGAAGAUUUAGUGUCUUAGAUACGUACCAACACUUGAAAGCAAUGGGAAGCGGCACCUGGAGCGACAUAUCCGAUCGAUCCACAGAGAAUAUUGGCCGUCGAGUUGGACGUCGAUGCGUAUGCCGUGUUUCCUUCUCCCACUGUCAUGACCAGCCUCGCAAUGCCGAAAUCGGAUACCAGGGCGGUCAUGUCGUCGUUGAGGAGGAUGUUGCUGGGCUUCAGAUCACAGUGGAUGACCUUUACCGGUGAAUGGUGGUGCAGAUAAGCUAAGCCCUCAGCAAUGUCGCUGCAGAUGUUCACACGCUCCAGUAAGCUCAGCUGCGGGGAGUCUGGUUUCUCUGUUUCCGGGUAGAGAUGGCUCUCCAGGCUGCCAUUGGCCAUGAAGGGAAGCACCAGGGCUUUGAAAUCUGGAAGACUACAAGCUGUUAUGAUCCUCAUCAGGUUCCUGUGCCUAAUGUUCUUGAGGACCUGGCAUUCCCUCUUGAAGCUUCUGGUGGAGUUCCCAGAUUGCAGCUGCAGAACUUUGAUUGCAACUAAGCUACCAUCACCGAGCACUCCUUUGUAGACAUGUCCGAAGCUACCCGAGCCUAUCAAUCGGCUUGUCUCGAACCCUGCCGUGGCCUCAGCGAGCUCUUUGUAAGUUAUUCUUGGGAAAUUUGAUGAAAGGUUCAGAGAAAGAUUCCCUGCUGAAUCCCCGUCCUCUCUUCUGCUCAUCAGUUUUCUGACGACCAUGUAACCUGUGGCACACAUGACUGUUACCAGGAAAGCUGAUACAGCCACGAUGCUGACGAUCAAUACGAGGGCCUUGUGCGAAUGGAUCGAGCGUCUGUUCUUGCGAUGGCAGCUGGGAAUUCCAGGCAGCGAACCGCACAAAUGAUUCCCUUCGAUCCAUUGCGGUGCCAAGGAGUUGAAGACGCCGGCUUGCGGCAGCGGCCCAGUGAAGUUGUUGAAGGAGAUGUCGAGUAGCCUGAGGCUGCUGCAGUGCUGAAGAGAAGCUGGAAUCUCCCCUGAGAGGCCAUUAAAGGACAGGUCCAGCGACUGUAUGUUCAGUAGGCUGCCCAUUGAGUCCGGGAUUGGUCCUUGAAGAUGAUUGCGAGAAAGAUUCACCAGCUCGACUACUUCGCAGCUUCCCAGGCUUGGAGGAAUGAAGCCACUGAGUUCGUUCGACGACAGAUCGAUUUCCCUAACCUUGUCCAUUUUGCUCAGCUCCGUGGGAAGCUCCCCCUGUAAUAGGUUGUGUGACAGAUUGAAAUAUAUGGCCAUGGAGCUCAAGCCUGCAACGUCAGCUGGUAUAGUCCCUGUGAGUCUGUUAUAGGACAGGUCUAAGAGUUCCAGUUUCGUGCUUCCCAGGCUGGAAGGUAUCGAUCCCGACAGCAAGUUUUCGCUAAGGAUGAGUCUCCUCAGUUGAGUUAGAUCUGCUAAGGCUGUUGGAAUGGAGCCUGAAAGCUUGUUUCCCGAUAAGUCUAACAGCCCUAUCUGACUUGGAUCAUUAGGAGGAGUUGGGAUCUCUCCGGAGAGGGAGUUGCCAGACAACCAAAGCCUUUGUAGAUUGGGCAGAAGAAACAAUUCCAAGGGAAUGUUUCCAUGCAAGAGAUUGAUCGACAGAUCCAGCCAAGUCAAUUCGGAAAGGUUAGAUAUCUCUGAUGGGAUAAUCCCCUGAAUGAGAUUGUCUCGGAGAUCGAUCUCCGAGAGAUUAGCACUCAGAUGGCCAAUAGUUGAAGGCAAUUCACCUCCCAGGUUGUUCCCCGCCAGCUCAAACUCCUCCAGAUGAGUCAGAUUCGCAAUGGCAUUGAAGAAGGGAAGGAGAUUGGAAUUCUGACCGUCACCGGAGAAAUUGUUGUAGGAGAGGUGAAGUAUCUUCAGAGAAGACAGCUUCACCAAAGUCUCCGAGGGUAAUAUGCCACCCAAGGAAUUGUUCUCGACAUCGAUCUCCGCCAGAGCUGUGGAGUUAGAUAGAGAGCGAGGGAUGCCACCCAUGAGCUGGUUUGAGUAGAGCAGGAGGUUCUGCAGACAAGGAAGGUGGUUUCCCAGCUGUGGAGGGAUGAAACCAGUGAACAGAUUAGUGGAAAGGUCGACGUAGCUCAACCGUGAGCAAUUGUACAGGAGAGCAACAGGGAGGUCGCCAUGUAGCUGGUUGCUGCCGAGGUCGACAUAGCGAAGCUUCGCAAGCAUGCCGAAGCUCUCAGGGACGGUGCCUCGUAUGUUGUUGCCUCUUAAACCGAGCAGCUGAAGAUUAGAUAAAGAUCCAAGCUCAGCAGGAAUGGAUCCUUGGAGCGAGUUCUCCGACAGUUCAAGAAGGGUAAGGCGAGAAAGAUUGGACAGGAAUGGUGAGACUGCUCCUGCCAAAGAUUUGCCUUUGAGAUCAAUAUUGACCACUCGUGCAGGAUUCAUGCCACAAACCACGCCACUCCACCCGCAAACAUUAGUCUUCCCGCUCCAGCUGCCAAGAGCGUUCUCUGGAUCGACAACUAUGCCUUUCUUGAACUCUAGAAGUGCGGAUUGGUCGAUUCUGAUGGUGUCAUUCUGACGGAAGGGAUGAACAGGAGAAAGGAAGAAGAGAGAAAGAAGGGUGGGGAAGACAAUGCAGUCCAUUUUGUCACAUAUCUGCAGCCAUGACUCGUUGUACUUCUUAUGCGAUGAUGCUGCAUGCCGAACUCCACAGUGAGUGCGAUGAGGAGGUGGCAGGAAUCGACUGCUCCAUUGAUCUUAGUGGACAUCAAAAGUUGGCCUCGAGGAAGCUUUCGGAUCUGGGAGGGUGGAGUGUCGAUAUGAGGUACAGGGAGUGGAAUCUGGAUGCGGUGUGCGCUUGUGAUUGGACAAGAAAGAAGACAUGAUGUGGAUGUUUGCAGUUCCUGAUGAGCUGCUUGUUCCAGCGAUUACCUUCAGAAACCUAAUCAUGUAUUGCAUCAUCACACCGCCUGCUGCGGCUUCUCCACCAUGGCCACCACCAUCAACCGUGGCUCGCAGUGCAAGUGCUGCUGCGUUGACAUGAUGAUGAACCUUUGAGGAAAUGGUCCAUCAAAAAGACAACCAUCGAGUGCCAAAGUUCCUUCUUGUCUCCCACAACAGUGCGGUACCGAAUGCUCGGUUUAGUUCUUUGUUUUGUAUUUUUUUCGAAUCUAAAGGCAACGGUUGAUCUCGAAUCCAACGGUCACGAAAGCCGCGAUGCUGAUAGGUUAUUAAGCGGAUUUGAGCGGCCGACAGCGACGUAGCAUUCGAAAUUGGGCGAGCGGCGGGAGAGGCGCGAGAGAUGGCGCAACAGCGGCGGGGGAACCAGCAGCAGCGCCACCACCACCAUCCGGCGUUGGACGACGUGAUGAAGGUCUUGAGCAGGGCGAGCCGUGACCUCCUCCUCGUCCAGCGUCAGCUAGAUCAGGAAUUCCAGCGUUCCUACCCCGACGACGUGCGUGAUCAUAGGGUUUUAUCUGGUCUUGUUGUUUGUUAUUGAUCUGGUUCUGAUCUCCUUGGCCUGCAGGUCAAUCCCUGCAAGAUUGUUGCUCGCAUCAAGAAGAUCCAGGAGGACUUGGUCUCGCUCAAGGAACUCUGCCGCGAGCUGCUCGCUGAGAAACAGGUUCUUCUUUCUCUUUCUUCCGCACGCAACAAUUAGGGGGGGGCAGCGAAAUGAUCUAGUAGAAAGCGAAAGUUAUCAUCUUGGAGCAUAUGGUGUUACUUGUUCUUUGGGCUCUUUGGUUUGGUAUAGAUAUGUGGGCGUACGAAGAGUGUUCGAUAAUAUGCACCUGUUUGCAGCCUCGGUUAGAGUAGCACCAGAGAUAUAAAUUGACUUCUUUUAAGACAAGGAAAAAUCUAGCAAGUUAUCUUUGCAUAGGAAACCUGAUUGAUAAGUAUACGAUUCACAUGAAACUACUGCAUCCCUUAUCACUACUAAUCUGUCAUGUUAUCUCCAUAGGAUAUCAGUGUACAAUGUAAAUGGUGAUCAUUUACCAUAUUUUGUAGCUCUAUAUGUUGCUGGGUCAUCUGCUUCGUGCUUCUAAGUUGGCCUUUUGUCACUAAAAUAUUGAUAAGACUCUGGCAACAAACUCCACUCAAAUUGCGAAUAAACUGUCUGCUCACCGUUUUCGUCUGCAGGAUUUAAUUGACAAAACAAGAUCAGUUUUGGUUGGGCAAAGGCAUUCAUUGCAGAUGUUAUUGGCUUCUUCCGGUCUACCUUCAAUGAGUGAAUCUGAUGACAUGGCAUACGCAAAUUUGAACCAGGUGAUGGAUUCUCUGUUUUUGUUUAUUCAUUCUGAUAAAUUUUAGUGUUCAUUCUCAUAUCCUGUUUUCAUCUUUUAGUAAACUUUUCGGAGGUUCAUCAAAUAUUUUCCGUUUAAGCUUCAUAAUCUGUUCUUCAUAUUUUAUGUGACUCUGUACAAGCAAGUCAUAGGCAACCAUUAAUUGAACACUGUGAAAUGCUCCUAUACAGAAUAGUAUCAGAUGAGGUUUGAGUCUUCAGAAGGGCAAAUCGUGUUAUGUAAGGCCUGUUAGAUGGUUAAUGCAUAUAAUUGGUAGAUCCAAUGAUUCCCCAUUAUUGCUGAAGGUGUAAGCAUACGACUAUUUGCUUCUCCUUUGUGCUUAGUUUUUCAAGUGGCGCUGGAAACUACCGUUUCAUGUAGAAUCUCUAUCGAUGCUAAUUGUUUGAUUGUAUUAGUAUGUAAUAAUACUACAAAAAGGGUAUCCAAACUUACUCAUAGAAAUUUCAUCUCACUGCCCAAUGGGCUUACUGAUCCAUCGAGACUGGGUUAAAUGAUUUGCAGUGAAAAAGACAGGAAUUGUUUGCAGCUGCAGUUUGUUGUAAUCAUCAUGUUUGUUCUAGAUCCGAUUGCAUUAUAGUUAUGAAUGAUCAUGCUCUAUGAGAUUGUUGCACUUCUUAAGAUUGAAGGCACUGUUGUUAUGAUUCCUCACCUAGAAAUUGAAGCUCUUCACCAACUUCGCAUUGCUCAAUACCCUUAGGGAUGAUCAAUCUAGCGGGCAAAGCAGUCUAACUCAUUUGCAAUAUACUUGCAAUUGAACAGGUUAUUGACGAAUGGACAGCUCAAGUGAGAGCAAAGACUGGUAAUAGCACCUGCACACUUCUCCAUAACAUAAAAAUAUGAGUAACUUUCUUGCAGAAAGAAAGACUGAGAUGCUAGCUUAUUUCAGGGGACGAGAAAGACAUCGGUGAGGAUAUAAAUCAGAUGCUUUUCUCGGCAUUAGUUCAGAACAACUAAGGUUAGAGUGAAGAGCAACAAGGAGAUGAAAGCCCUUUGAGCUAAUUUGCAUAAGGUACGCAUUGAAUGAUGUAUACAGACACUCUGAUGAACUUUAGAAUGCCAUGUUGGCACCUGGUUGACUUGCUCUGUGUAGAUCUUAGUUGCCUCUUCCACGACAUUGGAACCUUUGUCAUGCGCUAGUUCCUAAUAUAAAUCCUUCCAAACCUAUUCUCCUACUCCUGUAGGCCACCCAUGUGUGAUUAUGUAUCUUUUCUAUCGAUAAUUGCAACAUCUUCAUGUUUGGAUGCAUUCAUUGCAAAUUUUCUCUUUUUCUAAUUUAUUUGGCUAAUUAUCUGUUUUAUUGAUCGUAACCAAAGCUUUUUUAAGUUACUUUUGUGAUAGCAGAGAAAGAAAACUGUUAUGUCCUUUUAUGGGGAGGUGUUGUUAUAAUAUCACAGACUUAGUUGGAAUUGCCUAAGUCGCGCAGUACUCUUACGGCAAAGUCAGACUUAGUUGGCGUUGCCUAAGUCGUGAAAUAUCAUUACGCUAACUUUUCAAACUUAACUGAGAUUGUCUAAGUCAUGAGGUGUCUUUGCGAUAUAUGCGUUCGUAAAAGGUUAGCUUAGUUGUAACCUCGUACAGGUCCCGAAAGACCUAUAAAACAACAAGUUGAUUAGUUUGAAAAUGAGUGGUGAACAAGUCUCGACGUCUCGACGUCUCGCGAAGAGAGAAGCUUUAUAAAUAAUUUAGCGAGCAAUUUAAGUGUAAGAGAGGAAAGAGAAAAUAAGGACUUUAGAAGAUCGAAUAAAUAGUUAUGAGUUUGUAAACAACUGUUUAUCGGGUGGUAGGCGCGAAUACAAGUUUUCGUCAAGUUAACGUGUGAAUUUGUGAAGAGUGUCCAACGUCUGAAUUUGGAAACUUAGUUCCCAUCAAGUUAACAUGCGAACUUGGAAGAACUUUAGGACUUCUUCAACGUGGCAUAUUUCAAAAAACUAUUAUUACUUUAGUUAAACUGGGAUUAUUUGUUCUUAAUGCUGCAAUUAAACUUGCAAAUGAUAACAUGGAUGCCACAUUCAGAUAUAAAGAACUUUUGAUUGAGAAAGUCCAGAAAGCCUUCUGUACCAAAUAGAUUAGCCUUCACUAUGACUCAUAAUCAUAAAUUUUGCAAGGAUAUUUGCACAAUGGAGGAAGAAGACUGUUUUUUGGCAGAUUAGGAUCGAAACAUAGAGAUCGAAACUAAUCUGAAUCAUUUGUCAUGAUGGAUCUAAUGAGAUAAUUAAUCCAUAAACCUAAUACACUUAAACCAUAUGCUCAAUAUGAUUAGGUCCAAAAUAAUGAUUAUAUUCUCAUCAUCUAGCCUUCCCAAAUCAAUUCAAAAUGAUCACAAACUGAGUUUGUGACAUAAACAAAAAUUUGUUUGAUAGUUUCAGAAAAUCCAAUCACAUAGUCCAAGGAGUGGCACCACCAUCACCAGUGCUACCACCACCACAGAGGCAUGUCAUCCACAGCGGUGCUUGUGGCGUUCACAACACAGGAACUGUGAACCCUACAAGAAGACUGUGUCCCUGCGACCACCGGGCUCCCAUGAAAGAGAAAGGAGAGAAGACAGAGGAGUAACUACAGAGAGUGCAGUUCUUUGGGUGUGCAGCUUUUGCUGUCCUUUUCCUUCCCUGUUAACACGUGUAUGGGAUGCAAGCAAGCAAGCACCCAAUCCAAUCCACAUGACGACCUCACAAGCCACCAAAGGAGGAAGAAGAUGAUGUGCUCCACAACCAGAACACUCCCAAAGAUUUGUGUGGGAAAGAAGAAAUCUAGUGUCAAUUUCAUGUAGAGUGAGAAAGUGAGGGGGACAAAAGCAGUGGCUGAAACAUGAGGGAGAGCAGAGACAGUGGAAUCCUCUCACACCAUUAUUGAGCAUAAGAAAAGAUUGGAGAAUUAAAACUACAAUGUUGCUCCACAUUUUAAUUCCAAGCAGGAAGCCUAAAAGUAGGUUCACUAUUUCCUAAUUUUACUCCUCUUAAGUGCACCCAACAUGGAAAUCAUGAAACCAAGUGAGAUGCAAACACAAGAAGGAACACCACAUCUCUAAUCAGUUGUUAGUUUACACAACAUUACUGCUUAGUCUAUUCAGUAAGAUAGUGACUGAUUGAUUUAUUUUUUUUUUCGAAGAACAAAUAAUAAUAAUAAUAAUAAAUUGGAGUCCAGAAUUUAUAGUUAAUAUUAUAUUUUAUAGGUAAUCAGCAAAAUAAAUCAUCAUCACCAUAUUUCAUAUGUAUGUUAUAAAGACACUCUAUGAUUUUUAAUCUUUAAAUAUUCUAUUAAAAGUCUCAUACUAUUGAUUUUUUAUAGAUUGAUUCCUACAUAAGUGUUUUUACUUUGGGACAAAAAUAUCUUUAAAUUUUCAUUAAAGUAAUUUGAUCACAUAUAUUAUUUAAAAAAUAUUUUUGAUAAUUAAUUAAUGAUCUUACAAUCACUAAUGAUACGAUUCAAAGAUGAUUAUCAUCAUUUUUAUAUUUUUUAAAAAAAUUGAGUAAUAUAUAUGAUCAAAUUAUCUUAGCAAAAGUCUAGACAUGAAUUUUUUGUUUUUUUUGGGCGAAAUACCUUUUUAUUUUUAAAUACUUGAGGUAUACCACUUCAAUGGUGGUCAGGAAUGUAGGUGGCCACACGAAGACAUUGGAGGCAAAGCACAGUGCUGUUCCAUGGACCAGACGAUGAGGCAGAAGAGGCUUGUCGGGAUGGAAGGCGCCCACGUGGGAGGCGGCCACCUCACCCUUCUUCCGCCAUGCUCGCGCAGGUGACCCCUGCACCCCGGUCAAAGCAGUCAAAGCGGCAAGCCAACGCAGUAAUGGGGGGACUGUGGAGGACCAGCGCGCGGCAUCAGACUCGCAAUGCAGUGAGUGAAUCAAAAGGGACCUUUUCCUUGGCUGUUUUACCCUUGCGGAUGGAGCAGUGUAUGCAUGCUCAGUCUCGGCUUCUUGCAGGAACGAGAGAAGGUGGAAAGGACCGGAGGAUAACUGCUCUAUUAGCUUCCCCUUACGAAGAUACAGAAACACGAGGAGGAGAGAGAGAGAGAGAGAGCAGUAGCAGCAGCAGCAGAGGUAGAUCUCGAGAGAUCUCAAGGAAAGCGAUGGAGCUCAGACACCGUCAGAUCUGCUCGGUAUCAGAGACGUCGGGCUCUCUCUCUCUCUCUCUCUCUCUCUCUCUCUCUCUCUCUUCAGGAUAUUAGAUAGAAUCGGGAAGCCGGGCUGCUGCUGCUCCUCCUCCCAUCUCUUUUCCUCGCUCCUUGUAGAAGACGAUGGCGUCCUGCUCUCUCUCCUCCUCCUCCACCACCUCCUCCUCCUCCUCGAAGCUCGAUUCCAAGCUCACUCCAUCUCUAGUCCCCUUCCUUCGCGAGUCCCCAUCAGCCACUUCUCUUUUUCUUUUUCUUGCUGUUCGUGGAUUUCUCUGAGCCCAAUGCUGCCUGCGAGUCGUUCGACUACCGAGAGUGUCGUAGUAAUGCACGUCGUACGUGGGCGGUGGUCGGACCAUGGUGCCCCUGCUCCGGUUGCUUGCCACUGUGCUCCAUCUCGAGGGGGUAAUCUCGCCAUUUCCCGGCAUUGCUCCGGUGGUCCUCCCGGGCCGGAGGUCUCGUUGUUGGCUUCUGCCCGCCCGCCUGCCCGCGUGCACAUGGGUGAGCGAAGACCGCUGCAGCUACAUCAUCUCUAUCUCUCUCUCGUGUUCUGCUCUGUUUACGCUGAUCAAUGCAUUAGGAAGCAAAGAGCGGAGAGCAGCAGAAUUAAAUGAUGGUAAUGACUGCUACUUUUUAUCCGCAUGAUGGAUUUAGCCGUCAUCUCAUUUCCAUACCCCCGAAAGAAGCUCGGUGAGCGUGCAAGGGGCUUUUUGCUGUUGCUUCUGCGUCUGUGUGGGUGAGAGAGAGAGAGAGAGAGAGAGAGAGAGAGAGAAGGGGAUGCAGGACGAAGGAGAAACGAUGAGAGAGAGAGAGAGAAGAGAGCUUCCCUUCCCCAAAACGGAGCCAUCGAUACGUAAAAUCCGGGGGAAGUACGUCUCCUUGAGGCUCGAGUUCCCGAACUACCCUUGGGGCUCCGUUGCUGCCUCGGGAAACGAAGGGCAUUGCGGUCACUUCCUGUGGGUGGAGCUGUGUAUGGGGUACAGCUCUCCAUUUCUGUAUGGGACGUGGAAGAAGCGUGUCGCGUUGGGUUUACAUAUAAAGCGGUAAAAGACAGCGUAGGGAAGAGGAGAGCGAGUUGUUCUCUUUCUUCCUUUCUCUCUCUGCUUUAGUAUGCUUUGUCUGGUGUUGUUGGGUGUGAGGCAAAGCCAUUGAUCCUCCGCAGCGAGUCUACCGAGUUGGGAUGGUGAGCACUCAUCACAGAAGAUGGACCCGUACAUGGAUUUAGUGCUUGCUUUAGCUUCUGCUUUGCUUUGCUCUGUUCCGCCAUAUGUGAUGGAGAAGGAAGAACGUAGGCCAAGCUCAGCAAAGCAGGCAGUGCUACGUCGAGGAGAAAGAGAGGGAGGAUUGGCAUUGUCUGUUCCGGAGGCCUCUUUUUGCAGCUGACAAGAAAGAUCGAGGAAGGAACGGCCAUGGAAAGGGUGGAGGCGGUGGCAGAGAGGCCAGCCAUGGCGCGGCGGACGGGCGAAGGCAGGCCUCAUGAUGGUGCAGGUGAAGACGACGAUGCACUACGCGAGGAGGCAGCCGACGUGCUUUAAGGUUUGUGUGCUGUGAUAUUGGUGUAAGCGGCUCAAUCAGUUAUCUCUUCUUCUUCUUCUUCUUCUUCCUCUUCUGUUUCCUUUUUCUCUUCUUCUUCUUCUUCUGCCUACUACUCCCAUUACCACCAACAUGCUGUUUUGUAAUAGCCUCUUGGCGUUGCUGCUUUGGCUUCCACUGUUUGAUCCUCCGAGUGACGUGGGUUGGUGGUGGGAGGAAAGGGAUGGGGUAGGGGAGGGUGGGUUGGCACGGCAUGCUUCAUGCCACACAUCUCCCUCUCCCACAACUCCCCUUGUGUAACCUUGGGAUGUUCUGUUGGGUUUCUCUCCCUUUUGUCGCUUGUUGAUUGGAUGGGUUGCUUAGCAUUCAUCUUAGAACAGAGAGGGAUUGCAGCAUUCACCCCCGCCGGCCCUCUUCCUGCUUUCUUGCUUGGGAGAGGGUUUUGGGUGGUUCAAUCUGCGUGAGAACAACAGCGACGAUGGAUGUGUCAGUCUGGAAUGCAAUUAGUGGGGUGGUUCAUUUUACCCCUUGGAUGCAUGAGAUGUGUAGCAAGUACAGGCUUAAAGACACUGGCCACUGUGUCAGGACUGAGAUCAGGUUGCCCUUAAGGCAGCUGCUAGCUAUAUAGCCUGAUGUCGGUGCGACUGCCCUAUUGUUUACUGCUAAAAGUUGGAGGAGAGUCUGCACCAUUCUCUGCUUCAGGGAUAAAGAGUUCCCAAGUCACCACUGCAUAGGUAGUCUCCAGAGGCAAAAUCCUUUUCUAUUAAAUCAUGCCUCUGUUUGUGUUUAAAAGCAGCGAUUUCUUGAACAGACUCGAGAAAAUAAGUUCUACGGCAGUUCAGAUGGGUUUCCCCUUCUACCACAUGAUGGGAUACCAAAGGUGAUAGGCAAUGCAAAUCCACCAAACCCAAACAAAGCAAAUGCCAUGCAUGAUAUGUAGUAGUAGUAGUAGUGCCAUAAGCCCAUAUUCUAUCUGGAGGCUCAGUUGAAACCAUAUCAGCCAAAUAUCAACAGACAGUUGUGACAUCUCAUUUUCCAGCGUAAUUAAGCAUCAAAUAAGCAUAACAAACAUCAAUCUUGGGCAAGCACGGCCGCUAUCUCUUCUACAUUUUCAAAGCAUGACAUUUAUUUAGGGUGCCAAUCUUCAUAUAGACCUUAUCAUAAACUCGAGGACACCAUUUGACACCCAAGUAGAAUAUUAGAAUAUUGGUUGGAUCACUCGGUAGUACUUAUGCAGGCUGCAAAUUUUAUGUCCAAACAGCACCUGAUCAUGCAUGAAUUCGGUCUAUAAAAAAUGCUGCUGGUGGUCAUCGUGGCACACUCAGGAGGCCACCUAGAGCUAUCGCUUGACACCAGCAUCCUCUGUCCCGAACGCCACUGCACAUUCGUGUGAAUUCCUAGUUACACAAGGACCCCUGGUCAAGUGUGGCACAAGGGAUCAUAAAACACUACUAGAACUAAAAACUUGGCCAACUUUCUGCACAACAUCAUCUUCCUCAUGAACUCUUCUCAUCUCUCCAUCCCUUCACCUUCCAAGCAGGAUCCUCUGGCAUCAUCUUUCAGAGUUUUAUCCCCAUCUUCUCCUUCCUAGUAAUGUAGAGUGGGUCCGGGCGACACUGCAGUUACCGCAGAAGCAGCAAAUGCUUGGUAUAUCAACAGGCCACCGCCUGGGAGAUCUUGUUCCACUCUAUCUUUGCAGGUGUAACCAUCAAGAAGUAUCUUGUCUGUCCAAGUGCCUGCUAGUCCACGGCCACCGAAGAUGGUGACUGCAAGAGAGAAUUCUGAAGGGUCAAAGCACCUGAGGACCCUCUCGAUUAAGUCCUGCUGCACCGAGGUCAGAGGAUUAAACCCCAUUGCCUCAUAACUAGCGUAGCUGAAACCCUCCUCGGGUGUCACAUGGAUGGUGGAGAGCGACGGGCCAUGAAUCCCAUUCAUGGAGUAGCCACAGGGCUCGAAGUCGAAGUCACAUAUCUCCAUCUCAGGAAUAAUAUUGGAGAUACCAGAGAGCUUCGUCAUGGCCUUGGCAGGACACUCAUGUCCUUCCACCGAAUUCUUAAAGAAGAUUAACGCCCGUUCAGUGUUCAACUUAGUCAUGCACAUCUCGAGGGUGACCAUUGGCAGCUCAGGCUUAUUGGCAGCAUAGUAUAUAUGCCAUUUUCGAUCUGCGUUCGCUGAAUCACCAAUCACAUAUGCAUCACUACCUGAUUCGAGGCUGCCAAAGAACUGAUUGAGCACAGCAACUUCAUCGGAGAAGCUACGGUGGGGGGACGGCUGUGCACCAGGAAAGAUAAAGGUCCCACGAGAGUAUUUAACAGAGAAAACAGAGAGCGAAAGCUCUGCAGCAAGUUCAAGAAUUCUAGGAAUGGAUAGGAGGAGCUUCGUGGUCCCGCAAGUCUUGAGGAUUAUUUUGUAGGGAUAAACAAAGAGGCUGGAUUCGGAGAGGACAUAUGAAUCGAAGUUCUUGUUCGAGAGAUGAGACACGAUGGUGCAUCGUGCCAGAUCCAGAAUGGAAUCGAUCUGUGCCCGUGAAAGAGCACGCAGCCCCCAACCAUGGGCGUCCACAAAAAUGGGUGCCUCGGAGAAUGUGAUCUCCAGGCGCUUCUCGUAUCCCUCGAAACCAAUUGGUGAGGCCAAGGGAGGGUUUGGAGUGUCUAGCAGUGAGAUUGCCAUCGAAUCAAGCAAGAGCAAGUGAGAGUGGCAACGACAAGAAGAGAACAGGAGACCAAAAGUGGUCUGGGAGGAGGUUUGGAUGUUAGAAAGCAGCUAGCUUGAGAUUGUUUAAGAGCAAAGCAACAGAAAUCCUACUCUACCGAAGAAGGCAUCUGAAGGGGGUCUCAGGAUGGCUUCCUCACACACUGCAGAAGAUCAAAAUUAGCAAAUGAUCAGCAUUCAACACACCAAAUCGAAGACAUCUUAGUUUCAGACUUGGUUCUUACGUUGGAGUAUGCAGCAGACUGGAACUUCUUGAUUCCACCGUUGGGUCGGAUGUCUUCGACGGUGUAGCCAAGGGGUGCUUCGUGCUGCAAUGAGCUACUACUGCUACACUUUUUCUUCCCACCUUUAGACUCCAUUAAAACAUUUCGAGCUUCCUGCAACAAUGGAAGAACAACAUGUCGAUCUUUACAACCAAACAAAAUAAGAAUCACAUGCAUUAAAAGACCAAGAGAAGAGAAAAACUAGCUAUAGUCUACGCCUAGACAUACUACAAAGCAUGAGACGAUCAAGAGUCAUGUCCGAAGCAUAACAUUAUUCUAAGCAUUUUUAGGAGACCCGAUAAGUAAAAAUUAAACAGUGUUCAUAUUCAUCUAUUAACAUAAGCAGAAAAAUAACCUAAAUCAAAUAAAAAGAUCAUUCUUUACAGACAAAAUAAAUAUAUAGGAAGGAUUAGAACAAAUUGUAAGGCAAAUCUAAUGACUGCAUCGAGGUUAGAACAAAUCAUGCCCUAAUUAAUAUGAAAUCAAAAGAACACACCGAGGGAAAAACAGAAUGAAAUUAACGAAUUAGGGUUACAAUACGACGACACCGUACAAAUUCGGCCCGAACAGUUAAAGAUCUUCGAACAAGCGAACAGGAAGAAGGGCUACAAUCGCAAGAUGCAAUCACCAAAACCAACUCAUAUCAAGGGCCAUUUGAUUCUCCGUCCACCAUCAGAAAAGGAUUGAACGGAAUACAACCCAUAUUGUGCCCAUAGAACAACGACAACAACCGUUGAUUGAUCAAACGAUUCUUGAGAUGACUACAACAGAUGGAAUUGCAAGAGAAGACAGAGACGGAGAGAAGGAAAAGCUUACGAUCGAAAGGCCAAGGAGGAUCACCGCAGCAGCCGAAGCCGAGACUCUGCUGAUCCAAACCCUGGCGGACGAUACGAGAGCCGAAGAGGAGCCGGGAAGAUUGAGAGAGAGAGAAGCGGCGAGGAAGCGGGAGGAGGAGGCCUCCCUUUAUAUAGGACGCAGAGGGAGUCCGGGAACGUAAGGAAGUCUUCCCAACGGAGACGCUAUCUCUAUCUGAGAACCGAUUCGGUUAACCUUAACCGUCGCGGUCCAGCGAACGCCACCAAUAAGAGCGUUACUUCGGUGGGUCCUCGUAUCUUGGCCAAUCGUCUGCUCUCAGCUUCCUCGUAUUUGUGUUUCCUGUCCCUCCCAAAUCAAACCAACCCUCAAUUUUCCAAUAAUUAAUAUUGAAGUUUUUUAUAUCACAUCAUCAUUCUAAGUAUUAUUAAUAUUAAAUUUAAAUUAAUAAUAUAUUUAUCAAAAUUUUAUUAUAAGUUAAUUUAUGGGGUGUUAUAAUCUCUCGCUAUUUUAAUAUUUGACAUCCCUAUUAAUUACUAAUAUAACUUAAAAUCAAACUUAAUCUCAUUCAUGGAUAAUGCUUUCUUAUUUGAAUUUAUGUAAAAUCUAUGUUUUAAUUAUUUAAAGAUAUAUCUAUACAGUUAAAUAACUCUUACAACAUCUGGAUGAGAUUUUUGGAUGAUUAUGCUACAUUUAUGCAAGACAAAAGAUGAUUUGGGCAACAAUUGGCACUGAUGAGGUCACAAUCCAUGCUCAGUAUCACCACUCCCUCUCCUCUCACAGGAACAUAAAGAAUCUGGCAUUCUCCACUCCUCACUUGAAAUCCUACUUGCCACUCACUUUCCUUCUGCAUGGAAGAUUCAAAUCAUCCACCUUUUAGUUUUUGGAUGGUCCAUUAUGAACACACACACACAAAAAAGAAAAGAUUUCAUCAGCUAGAUAUUCGACUUGUCAAGGUGGCAUGACCUUGUUGCACAUAUCUACUUGGCUUAGAUUCGCUUGGAGAAUGAUAUGCUGUCCACCAAUACCUCCAAGUAGUGACAGACCCAGCCACCACCUUGUGAUCAUUGUGGUUAUUGUAUUGUGCUUGGAUGAUCUCCAUCUCCCCCAGGACGCUUCCUUUCUCUUUCUAAUUCUAUUGCACCAACAGCACCAUGGAGAUUUGUUUUUGCUUGUUGCUAGGGAUAUACUUUGCUUCAUUCGGAAUGCUCCUCUGGUGGAUGGCACCUCCACUCCAUUGGCCAUGCUGCUGGCCUUUCAUUUGUUCCUCUGUUUGUGAUGUGUAGUGUAAGGCUUUGGAGCUUUGUGUUGUCAAGUUGAUACUUUUGAUUUGAUGAUUUCUUGUCUCUGUCCACAGGUUGAGAAAUAAAGGGAAAACCACUGCUCGAUUUCCUGCUAGCCUUCAUCACUCUUCACUGCAACUCUGAAGUCAGACUUCCUCAAACAACUGUAGCAGUUAUUGUAUAGCCACCAUGAUCUUGAUAGAUGUUGCUUCUUCAC
rnacentral:lncRNA from 1 species